GCAAACCAACAAACAGCUUUAUGUUAACUUUUACAAACUGCCACAUUUUCAGGUUGAACGAUCAGACAUAAAUCUUGGUGAAACUAGAAGUAAUACAACCUGUGCUGUGGAGAUAAAAGAAAGGGCAGCAGCACUGGUGGCUGCAGAAAUUGAGGCAUGUAGAGACAAUAGAACCCCCGAGAUACCUCUGCAUAAGAAAGUCCAGAAAGAGUGGGCUUGUGCUGUAUGCCAGUUCACAACCCAAAGUGAAGUGACCUUCAAUUCCCACCUUCAAGGGAAGAGACAUCAGGCCACUUCUGAGCAGUUGAGAGCCAAAAACCAGGCAACCAAAACCAAUUGUUCCCCAUCUGCUUCAAAGGCCAAGAAAUCUGAUCAGUCCACCAAAGAGGAGCAACCAAAGUGUCCUUCCAACAAUCUGAAUUCCAAAAACAAUGGAAUCUCAGCUGCUUCAACAGUGAAGAAACCUGACGAGACCAAAGAUGAUGAGCAACAAAAGUGUGCAUCCAGCAAUGGACCAAACCAGAAGAAUAACAAAAAGCAAGAGGAGAAGGUGCUAGUUCUUGAGACCAAUGAGCAAGGCCAUCAGAAUAAUUUUGAUCCACGAUCCCACAUUUAUUUUGGGUCUCACAAGUUUCAAAUUUGCAGAAAAAUGAAAGAUGUUUGAGAGAAAAUUAAAUCAUAUUGCACUACUGUUAGGAAAAAUAUGGCUGAAUCCAAUUGCUUUUCUUCUCCAAGUCUAUUAAAAAUAUAAUUUUUUCUCCAUUCCUGACAAAAUUUAAAUUUUUUCCUUAAAAAAAAAAAAAUUAAGUUUGAUCACCUAACACAUCUUUCUAAACUCAAUCUCAACUUGAAAAAUCAAACCUUAAUGGAUGGACUAUAGAAAUAGUGAGAAAACACUUCUGGGGUUUUUUUUUUCUUCCAACAUCAAAUUUUUCUAUAUAUGGGAUUUCACAUGCAAAAGCAGGAGUAGAUUUGCUUGUGUUUGAUGUAUGUAUUAGAAAAAUUUGUCCCUUCUGGGAUGUUUAAUACUUUUCUAUUCUUUUAUAUGCAUGUUUAGCUAGAAGAUAUAGAAUCGAUACCAUUCCUUAAAAGUGAUAGCCACAACUGUGAUAAUUAAACACCAAAGAAUGUGAAGAUCUAUAUAUUCUUUUUUUUUUCCUCUCUCUUUCAAUAAUGAAGCUAAGAUGUGUUGUAAGCAUCAAAUGCAUUGUCUCUGCUUGAAUAUAUACAAAGCCAAGGACCACAAGAUGGAUAGAUAUGGGGACGCACAAAACUUCUCAAACAUGAUUAUAUUAAUCAAGAAUUCAACUAAGCUUAAAUUCAAGAUGUUGAUUUCUAGCAUCUCUGGUGCUAUAGGAUGACUAUUGAUCCUGUACUGUUAUGUGCCCUACUGAUAUAUUCUUCGGGUUGUUAUGUAUAAAUAAAAUUUUUGGGAAAGUUUGCUUGGUGGUUACACUAUCACUAUUUAGGCCAGUAAAAAUUGGAAGCCUUUGUAAAAAACUGAUGGUCCAAGAGCUAUUCUACUUCAUCAUCCAUGUAAUAUGACGAUACAAAUUUGACUAAAUGCAGCUAUAGAAGGCUUAGGACCAUAAACCAAGCCUAGUCGAUGUCACUCACCUAAAUUUAUGCAUAAAGCUUUUGGAUGGCUCAGAGUUAUAUUUAAUUACUGUUAUGUUCGCAACUAUAUUUUCAUUGGAUUUAUAGUCCAGCUUGAGAACUAGUCCUCCAUUGCACAUAAUGUCCACACAAGGCCACAGUGCCCGCUCAAAGGCCAUAGCGCUACUCAAGGAUAUAGUGCUUACUCAAGGCCAUAGAGCCCACCUAAGGCUAACGACCCAAAAGGAGAAAAAGGUUGGUUCCACGUACUCUAAUAUUUACUAGAAAAGGUUCUUCCUAUUAAAGAACAAAAAAUUGCAUUCCCUUGUGACCAAUCCAAACAGUAGACCACUGACUUGUAUAAGGCAUUAUUCACCAUGCAAGCACUUUUUCAGCAACCUACCAUCUGGCAUGAACCAUUUUGGAUUGAUUCACAAAGCAAUGGUGUUAUAUUAAGCAUAUUCAAUAUAGAACCAAAUUGUGCCUCCUUAGAUUAACUAAAAUAUUUCCAUUGCAAGAUGUGCAGAUAGGCAUAUGAUCAUGAAGUAAUUUCCUGAUGAUAAUACCCCACAAAAUAUUUCUUUUUCUCACUGAUCUCUCCUAGAUUUUCAGUUCACCCAUCCAUGGCGCCUGACUAAAAAUGGGGGCAUUUUGGAUACCCCGAGCAGUAAGUUAGCCUGGUAGGCAUCCCGUUGCAAGCAAAGUCAACCCGAGCGGUCCAUUUGACCAAAGCUUAUCCAGGCAGUAAGCGUCCAUAUACAGCUAACUGUUAUGCACCAUCAACAGGUUGAGGUUACAAGAUUAAAGAGUCAUAAUGGCCAAAUGGAAGUUACACGACUCGGCCUAUAUAAUAACAGUAUGACAAAAAAUGCAGGUAUGAAGAACUAUCACUGAAAAAAUUUAUUCCUAAAAAUCCUUUAAGCUCCUUUAAGCUAACUUGGGCAUUGGAGAGGUCUCUCCGAAGCACACUCGAGCUUACCUUUUUGUAAGACAUCGAGAACAAGAGGCAUUGAAGUGAUUGUCCGGAGGGUUGAACUUGGUCGGGAACCAACAAUACACACUAUUCAAAAAUAGGGAUCAUAUUAAAUUAUUAAUGCAACCAUAGGAAGCAAUUGAGGACAAGGGUGUUAUUUGAUUAAAAGGGUAAUUGAAAACCUAAAUUUUGAAAUUUAACCCUCCAUUCUAUUUGGCCUUAUGUGAACAAAAAUGCCUUCAUUAUUUUCUUGUAAAAAUAACUCACCCAUUUAAACCUUACAUGAAAAUACUUAAAAUGGUAAAUGAUAUGUUAAAAAUUGAUUAUUUUUCAAAUAAAACAUAAGAAGGGUCAAAUUCAUGAAAGGAUUAUUUCAUCCCUUUUAAUCAAUUAAUUCGAUUUAUUUCUUUUUAUUUUUUUUCUCUCCAUGUUAAUUUUCACAUCACCCAACAACACCACUCUUAAUUCACACAAGUUUGAAGUUUUUGAAUGAGAUAUAUUCGUAAUUAUAUUGUAAUUGUGUUAUAAUAACCAUUUCGUACUUGGAUUUGUUCUUUCAGUCCAUUUAACCUUUUUGUUUAUUCAUGUCAAAACAAUGUACUUAUAAUCGAAUCCAUUUAUGACAUGUUGAUCUUAUAUAAAUUUAUUAAUUUUAUAUAUUUAAAAAUUAUAAAAAUUAAAUAUACUUUUUCAAUUAUGAAUAUCAUAUUACUAAAAUAUUAAAUAACAAAUUAACUUGAAAUGCUAUAUAUUUCAUUAAUUAUUUUAUAAUUAAAACAUUAAAUGAAAUAAUAAACAAGUAUAAAAUAGAAAAUUCUAUCUUAGUUAGAAAUUAUAAACUGUUAUUGAGACAUAUAAGUAUUAAAAUUCUACCCAUUUCACUACCAAACAACUUAUGUUUUUAGUCAUAAUUUAACCUUAUGAUGAACACUUAAAUAAAAUUUGUCAUCUUUUUCUAUUGAUUUAUAUUUAUUUAUUUAAAAAUUUUGUCUGGCAUAAACUAUCAUCUCACAAAAUCAUCAUUGAUGAGUAGGCUAUGCCCCAGUGUAAGCAUCUCCAAAUCAAACAUCAAUGAGAGGAGUACAACCAAUCAUACAUCAUCUUAUCAAAAUGAAUCUCCGCUUUUCAAAGUCAUCGUGGUAACGUGAAGAGAGUAUUUGACCUCCUCUAAAGAAAAAACAUGUCUUGAUGUGAAAAAGAUCAAGCAAAGUGGUAUGCCUCAACAAAAAUGUGCUCAAACAUGAUCAUGCCCCGAUGUAAGUUAGUAUCUCUAAGAUCAAUCGCCAAUGAAAAGGUUAUUCCCCAGUAUAGGGCAAACUCUGAAAUGACUAAACUCCGUUGCAAGCUCUCAUAAGUGUCUGUGUCAUGAUCCAAUCAUCGCAAAAAUUUGUCAACAAUGAUGAGAAGGCUAUGCUCCUAUAAUCACAUCAAAGAAAUCACUCGGUCAUAUUACUCCAAUGUGAAAGAAAUCUAAUCACCUCCAAGGAACAGCUAUGCCUCAAAACCAUCAUCGACUGAGAGGGGGAUGCCCCUGAUCCAAUCACCACCCUAACUAACGUACCCAUCAUGAGGAACACUUGUUUGAGCUCCAUAAUGGGGAUCAACCAUUAGAUGAACAAGAUUCGAAUAUUACUUGCUCCCCAUUUCAACCAAUGAAUGAUGUACCUGGAAACCUUGUAGACAACCAUAGUUUUCAGCCUUCUUCCUCGCGAUCAUCUAGAACAGAGUCGGUAAGCUUCACUCAUUUCUUAUAAUGGACCUUGACCCACAACGUCGAACUACCUGUAUGCAAAAUUAUCCGUCCAGAAAACCCAUCCAUACAAUUCAGGUUCAAAACCCACAAGAACCACCCUAUGAAUAAACUAAUUAUAGCUGGCUUCGUUGCAAUAGGCAUUAACUUUCUUAUGCUGACAGUCCUAGCAUCAUUUACCAAAGGAUCAACAACUUUUCCAUGUCAGAGAACAUUAUCAAUCACAAUGACACCCCUGGUCCUCACUAGUUGCGAUAGCAAUUUAAAGUAUUCUUGAUUCAAAGGGUAAACAAAACAAAAAAGAAAACCCUAAGUGUGACUCCUUAUUUGAAAAAUGUGGUUUAUGAAAAACCGGAUCGAGCUUAGGGGUCAGGUUACUUAUCGGGAAGGUACAAAAAAAACCGUAGCACCCCUCUAAGUCCCUAAAAUGGGUCUCUAUUGAUAAAAUGAAGCAAUCAUGGCAAUUGGUAAGGAAAUCAUUGAGUAUCAACAUGAUCACACAUUGAGAGUUAAAGCAUGCAUGAGGAAUGGUCAAAGUGAGAAAGGAUGCGUACCUUAGCAACGAGUCCCAAUGCGCUAUCAAGAAAUUGGGUUAGUGCACAAUCAAUAAAUAUAAAAUAUAACACACAUGCAUCACUAAAUAGGGUAAUAAAUCCCCGAUGACAAACCUUGCACUUCACUCAGGUUUAUUUCUACUUCUCUGAUGUUGGGCCCCACCAAAGCUCAUUUUAUUUUGCAUGAAUCAACUCCAAUAACUCCAUUAUUCGGAAUUACGAAAUUUAAUUCUUGCUUAUUUUAAAGCAUUUUAAAAAUAGAGGAGAUAUGAGAAUUGCUCGCCAGAAAAGAAGAUGGCGGCAAAAUUUUAAUGAAAAACGAGUUUUUGGAACCUAAGAAAAAUGUUAAGGAUGGAAAAUUUUGGAGGUUUGAAAUUAAUUAAAAAUUAGAAUUGAGGAAUUUAUUUACAAAAUGGGGUUUAGGAAAAUUAUUUUCAAAAAAAAAAAAUGAUGAAAUGAGAGAUGGCACGUGACACAAGGGUGGCCAUGCUGAAGGCGUUCUCUUCUGGCCCAAGCUGGAAAUGCACUCCAAUUAUCCUUCUUUUCUGGUAUAACACCUUCAUCAAAAUAAAUAGCUUUUGCACCAUACUCUGAUAGACAAGGACCAAUAACAAUGCCUAUAUUUGCCUUAAGUAGACAAAGUAAGUCACCCAUUGAACCUCCAAUAUAAAUUGUCAAGUGCUCUGUGUCAUUACUGCAUCCCUCCUUCAAGAUGUCCUUAGAAACCUAAAGCUUUUCCACGACAUACUCCAUCUUCUUAAUGAUUUCACCCGUGGAAAUGGAUUCUUCACAAGCCAACUCAUUUGAAUAUACUCUCAAAACACCCAUAUCACCUGAUGAAAAUGCUGAUCUAACGAAAUCGCCACACCAACAGUAUGAAAGUCCAUGAACAUCUGCUUUCAGAUUAUUAUUUUUAAGAAUCUUUUGGAAGAAACCUGUGCAACCAUCUUGAAGAAUUAGACCUUGACCAACCUGUUUUAUAUCAUCUGAAUUUAAACCCUUCAAUACUCCAGACUGAGUCACUCUUGAAUCUGCCUUUUCCUCAAAAUCAGAAAGUUGCUCAAGUGCUUUACAUAAGCCUUCAUAAUUGAAUUUUUCCACUGUUUCACUGGGGACGAUGCUUCCCAUGCAUUUUUCAAGCUCUUCAGUAUGCUGGGUAGAUAGAACACCCCAUGUGUGUGUCCAGAUCACCAUGAGUGACCAUUUGAACCUUGACGAAUGAGAGAGUACAUAACAUUUAAGCACACAGGACAUAUAUUAACAUUCUCCAUUAGCUUCUCUUUGCCUUUGUCCACCUCUUGACCUCCCAUGCAGCCAACUGUGAAGACCACGUCCAGGUGCAGUCACGUGGUGACACAUCUCAUGGUCUUCCUCAUCCAAUAAAUCACAUGCUCUGUUAAAUCUGCUACCCGAAUGGAUACCUCCUAUCCAUCAACCUGAAUAUACUCCGAGCUUUCUUCAUAAAACCCAAGAAACUCCAGAAGGCAUCAUGGUUCUCCUCCAUCAUUGAAAUGAUUAGGGAUAGUAAAUCACUCAUCCCUUAGCAAUAUCCCAUUUUUAAACCAUAGGGUGCGUAGGCUUCUAGAAUAGUAGCAAAGUGAGCAACACGGAAAAUCUUGCGUGGAUCCAAGUUCCAUGAUGGUGAUCGUAGCCUCACCUUUGAAAUCACAAGACCCAGAACCCAUUCGUUCUUCCUGGUAAUAACUAUCAGAUGCAUAGGAGGCAGGGUUCUUCAGAUUGUUGAUUUGGUAAAAGCCUCUUCUGGUUGAACCCCUGAAUGAUUCACUUUUCUCAGUCCGCAAACCUAGUUCAGAACAGCCCGCAAGAUCAGAACCUUAACCUAGGCGUGGAGAUCCAGUGUUGUAUAACGCCUCAAUUGUCGGAAGCAGCCAUGGCCCAAACAAUGAUAUAAUGGUCAGCAAGUUGUCCCCAAGGACCAUGACAGUGAUGAGCAUUUCCGGGCAGCGCGUCACCACGUUCCACGUCGCGACGGUAAUGGCUAUGGACUGAGUGUCAUGGUCAGGGAGCUUGAUGAAGCAGGUGAAAAUCUGGUGUUUUAGAUUCUGAGGCAAUGACUGCUUGAUCGGUCGGAUUCUAGUACCGGCGUUACAUUGGGGAGGCAAUCUUAAAGUUCCAACGGAGGUAGUAGUGGACUAAUAUUCCUCAAUAACCAAACUUGAGUUUCUCACUUUCCGCUUCUCAAGGCAUUCACCUGAAACGCUUCAGGCGCCCAAACCCUUUCUGCUCAUCAGUAUAAUCACGCGCAUGAAAGUCUUAACUGCCUUCUAAACUUCACAACUUCAUCUUGCAUCUGGGUCAUCGUCGGCACGAACUUAUCACCUGAUUCAGUUAAUAUCCCCAUAUAACAAGUUCCAAUGAAGUCGCAACUUUGCAUCUUCUUUUCUGCGAUUACUUUGAUUCUCAAAGCCGAUUACUUGUUGCAGUCCAUAGGAGAUUCAAUAAUCAAACAUCAUGCACAAGCAAAAAGGCAACAAAAUACAUCGGCAUGUGGCCCAUACACCCUCCAAAAUCUUCACUCAUUUAGUAAGUUUUAGAUUCAAAAGAGUUAGCCUUCUGGUGAGCAACCCGAUACCCAUAACGAAUGAUGUAUCUGAAACACCUUUCCCACGUGGCCCUUGAAGGAUUCACUAGAAGGUGACCAUGCAUAGUAGGUCUUCACUCGCAGGAGAAUGAGAAGGAAAUAAACCUAAAGGGGGGUUGACAGCGUAGUCUAGAAGGUGAUGAGCUGAGCGGGUGGGGGUAUUAGGGUGGUCAAGUUCAGUGGGUAUGAAGGGUGGAAAGAUGGCAUGAUAGAGGAAUAAGCAGCUGAUAGUGGGUGCGAUGAUAUAAGGUAGGUUGACUAUGGAGAGUAUGGCAUUAAAGGAUGAAGACUUAGAGAGAGAGAGGUGGGUUUAAGGGUAUGGUGAGAUGGAGGGUUGAGGGUGAUAGGCUUGGAUAGUUGCAUGAGGAGGAUGAAAGGUGGGUAUGGAAAAUGUGCAUGGGUAGGAAAUGGGUAUAACAAUGGGUGUGAAUAUUGAGAGGUAGUGAAAUGAAGGCAGCCUUGCUCGUAUGGAUCAGUGUCGGAUUGAGUUAAGAAUGGUGAGAGAAAGGGAUUCGAUGAAUAUUGAAUGAUGGAAAAUGGUGAUUGGUUAGAUAGGGAUUUGUGGUCGAAUGGAAAUAGGAGACAUGAACAUAGAGAUGAGUGUGAUGGAUGAUAGUGGGCAUGAAGGGUAUUGGAUUUGUUCAUGGGUAUAGUGGUUAAAAGAGUGGUGAGAAGAAAAAAAAAUGGCCAUGUAAAUAGCAAUUAUACAUGUGGGCCCGUGAUUGCAAACGGGACUGCAUUGUUGCAUCUCAUGCUGAACCCUCACCUCCUUCUAGGAUCAUUUUCUGCAUCAAAGCUAGAUAAACUUAGAUGGUAUUUCCUGCCAAUUUUGGAUGCCCCCCACUUUGGAAAUAUUUCCUUUUCACCCAUCAGAAUAUGCUUAUCAGGUGUACUUGACUCAGGUUCAUUCCCAUAUUGCCUCUCUGAUUUAUGAUCUUCAAAGGUUUUGCAUGAAGGAAGCCUUUCACUGCAUUCCCCUUCAUCCACCAGACCUUCAGAGCAUCGUUUCCAACAAAAGCAACCUUGACUCUUCUAGUCCCAUCAGAAAAAAGUCUGAAUAUCCUCAGUUUAUGUCAUCCCUUGAUGCCCAACUCAGAAAUGAUCCAAAAAACAGUCAUCUCCCAUAUUUGGCUUCCCAGAAACACCUCGACUCAGAUGGCCAGUCCAAAUGUGAUACCCAACAUUCUAAAAAUGCUAAAAACAGAGGAGAUGAUGAAGAAAAACAGAGCAUGUAUAAAAGAAAAAAAAAAGGACUGUUAAAUCUCACUCCAUUCCAUAAAUGCUAAUGGGGUGGAUAUGGUGGAAUCAAAAGGAAGCAAGAGCGUGAUCUUCAAAAUCAAAAGCAAUGAUGGAUCCAUAUUCAAAACGUUCCAGAAUAGAGAAAGACACAAAUAAGGAGCAGGGUUUUUUUUUGUUACUGGCAGGAAGAUAUUUUUUCUAGAGAGUAACUAGAGAGAAAAAUAGGAAGAAAAGGGAAGAGCAUAGAAGACAUCUACAUAGGAGAGUAUUCAUUGUUGUGAGGAGUAGUAGAGAGCUUAGGAGGAGUUACAAAGAGAGUGAGUUUGGUUAGAGGAGGAAGUUUUGUUGGUUUUUCAGAAAGGAUUCUAGCUUGAGUGAGAGCCAUUCUAGAGAGGGUUAGAGAGGAGAAAGGUGUGUUUUGAGCAGCAAAGACACGAAGCAAAAUAGAGCAGCCAGGAAAGAGAAGCAGAAAAUCAAAAUUACUAAAAAAUUAGUGAAAGCUGUGAAAUUUCAUAUUGUUACUAAUUAUUAUAAUUUUUUUUUGUAUUUUCAAUAUUUCAACCAAUAUUUUAUAUAAUUAAAUUUAAAUUAUAAGAAUUAUAUUAUUAAUACACAUAACUAUCUUAAUGUUUUAACAAUGUAUACUUAUUUAAAUUUAUUUCAAUUUUUUUAUUUUUUUAUAAAUAUCUAAUUAGACUUAUAAUUCAUUGAAAUUAUUCAUUUUUUUUUUACUUCAUAAACCAAUUAUAUUACUUUUUGUAUUUUCAAUAUUCAUUUGGAAAAAAUAAUUUCAAUUUAAAAUAAAAUAAAUUAAUUAACUCUCAAUUUAUAAAUUGUGUCAUUGAAUUAUUUUUUAUUUAUAAUAUUUAGUUUAUUUUAAAUUUAAUUUUUUUUCUUCACCUUUUGGUUUAUCACUUUAUAUUAAAAAAUAAAAUAAAAUUGAAUUUCUUUUAAUUUAUAUUUUCACAAAUUAUUCAAUAUUUUUUUAAUUUUUAUAAAAUAAAUCCUCAGAUUAUAUAAUUGGAUGUUGUAAAGAGUUAAAAUUUUUGUGUUGCAUUGAAUUAUUUUUUCUAACAAAAGUAUAUUUGGGUACCGUAGACAUUAUAUCCAUAUCUUAACGUAUUAUAUACUUUUAUUUUGUGCAAUUAGCAAUUGAGCGGAAGACGCGGAGCCGGCUAACGGAAAUACCGCGUGUCACGCGUGUCCCUUCCCGUACCAAGUCUCAACUGCUUCAAGAUUUCCGACGCGCCCUUCUUCGCUUAACUCUUAAGUCUUUUCUUCCACUCUUCCUUAAACCCAUCACAUUUCGCCGCGUGGACCUAAGUCUCAAUGUCCUUGUGUUCAUACGAUGUAUGUUCCCCCAAUUCCUCAUCUACACUGAAACUCCAUACUCGCCUACUCAAUCACUUCUCUACUCUAGAGUCUGGAUGCUUAUCUCUGCGCGUGUCGAUGGCUCUUCACCCCAGCGAGUAUGGCAUUACAAGGGCAAUAUCGUCAUUAAAGACACAACAGAGUGUCUAUUUUAUUUAAGCUGUACGUAAUCGUGAUUGACUUCUUAGUAUCCUUUUGCUCCUAGUCUUCUCCCGCGUCUCUUAUAAAAACUAAAGAAAACCACUCCAAGAGAGCACACUACAAGAAUCUUCUUCCUUUUUUUCUUUCCUCUUUCUCUUUACAGAUAAACUGAGAAAGCCCAGCUCAUCCCUCAAUUCCCAGAUGGGUUUCAUGAAUGUUCUCAAGUUCUCAGCUGCAUGCUUUGAUCUUCUUGGCUGGUAUGUUGUCCACGCGUUUUCUUGCCAUUGGAAAUUUUUGGGAAAUGAAGUGGAAUUCUCUGUUUGAGGACAAACAUGGGAUUUUCUUUGAUUUCUCCCUGUUGGUUUUAUCUAUAUUCUUUGAAUUACCCACAUUCUUGUCAUUGAUUGUUAGUCAUUUGUUUGGAUUUCUACUUGCAGGCCUCUAUGUGCACUGGGUUAUCCUCUGUAAGUCUUGGUCUUACACCUCAAGAUAUGAUGAUUCAUUUACUCUUUUCUUGUUCUACGAAUGGUUCAGUUACAUUUAUUGUGUUGGGAAACUGAAAAGGAAAAGGAUUAUUAGUUAUUAUCGUAAUAAUCAUCAACAUCAUCUCGGUUCUUCACAGAUGUGCUUCAAUUCGGGCAAUUGAGACUAACUCAAUCUCAGACUUUCGGAAGUUGGUGGCGUAUUGGGUUCUAUUUUCCUUGAUUUCACUCUUUGAUCAUGCUUUUUCCAAGCUCCUUGAAUGGUAAUUUUGCUCAACUGCAUUCCACUAUAUGUGACUCUGUUUGUUUCAUUUCUUUGCCCUUAAGGAAUUUGGAGUUGCUUUUUUCAGUUUUCUUUCCUAUGAAAAUAAUCGAGAGGUCUCCAUGUAUUUUAUAUUCCUUCAUUUCUCUGCUUUGACAAAGGCCCACAUUCUGAUCAGCAGAAAGGUUAUAACAUUUGAAAAAGAAGUGCUUUAUUUUUGUUUUUUGUUAGUACAAUAAUUUUCGUUUGGAUAAAUGGUCUGAAGGGUGUUUGUGUUUGGCUGAGUUCAUGGAAUUUUCUAGCUAAUUUGGGAUUUAUUCUCAAUUUCAAGAUCAUUGUGGAUAUGUCAGAAAUUAAUGAAAUAUAAACGGUGGAAUGUGAUUUUCUUGUUUAAGAAAAGUUUUUCUUUGAAAAUACGGGUGCACCUGACCUACCUUAUUGUGCUACUUGGAACACAAAACAUUAGUACAGGUAAUUUAUUAACUAAAUUGUACACUUUUUGAUAGUUCAAGGAGGUGGUUUUCUUCUUUUAGGGUGUCAGCUUUGGAAAUAGGAUGGAUCUAAAAGUUUUUAUGUCUCAUCUUUAUAGGGAACUUGAAAGCAUGGAUGCACUUAUUUCCAUGGAAUUUGGCUUCCUUGAAAUCAAAUUAAGCUUUAUGCAUCAUUUGGAUGCUGAGAAACAAAUGGAAAUAGAAAAUUCAGAAUCUGACAAGUUUUUGUAGGGCAACUGGAUCUAAUCUCUUAGUCGAAGCCUAAUUGGGGCAAAUGCUGAUCAUCUUUGGACCCCAUUGAAAGCUCUAAUCUGUGCACAAUUCUAAUGUUUUUGUUUUCUUCAUUUCUUUUUCAACUUUUCACAAUAGAUGUCAAAGGUUAAAACCAAAUUUACGCAGUCCAUCCAAGUGGAUGCAUAUAAAUUUAACAGAAACUGAAAUUCGAAGAAAUUUAUUUUCCCUUUUGUAAAUGGUGUUUAAAUAUUUUAUUUUCUUAUAUAAUGCAUGUCAGGGUACCAUUCUGGCCUUACAUAAAGCUGAUGGUCAUCUGCUGGCUGGUGAUACAGCAGUUUGAUGGUUCAUAUUAUGUCUAUCAACACCUAGUUCAGCCAUGCUUGUCCAUGGAUCCACAAGCUGUCAUGAACUGGCUCUUCAAUGAAUCAAAAAAGAAGUUUCAUAGCAGAGAAAACUUUCUUGUUUCAGCAGACCGAUAUAUUAAGGAGAAUGGACCUGAAGCUUUGGAGAAACUACUUUCUAGGAAGGUAUGCCAUUAUAAGUAGGAUUAUCAACAAGUCAAACAGAGUUUUAUUUGAGAUGUUCAGGUAAAAAAUGACUAUAGUAGGUCAUCUAGAAUCAUUUGGUCUAAAUUCAUGUAUAUAUCUAUAUAUAAUUGUGUUCUCUUUUUUUCACAUAUGCAUGUGCAUUUAGAUUUACAUAAUUAUAUAUGCAUAAUCAGAUUCAACUGUGAUAGCCCGGAAUUAUUUCAGUAAUCAACUCUUCUGGGAACAUGUUGGUUAUGGUUUCUCUCUCACUGUCCUCUUCUUUAUACAUGACUUUGGCUUCAGUUGAGGAGCGCAAAGCCUAAUGUUGAAGUGAAAAAGAUCAAAGCACCUGCAGCACCGGAGAAAAAAGGGGAACAGGUAAGUUCUCUAAUGUGACUAUUUAAUUUCUAUGAGGCAGAUCCCCAGAGAAAUGUUGCUCAUGUAAAUUACUGAUGCAUUUGAUUCAAUGGCAUGGUUUUAAAAGAAAAACCACUUUAUGUAUGUUUCUGUGAAUAAGAGAACAAGUUUAUGGAUUAAAUGAUAUUUUUUAUGGUGGAUUAAUCAAUAAUUUUCAAAAUAAUAAUAUAUUCGUGCAUGUUUUUGCAAUUCAUGAAUUCCUUUUAUGAUUGAUUCUUCUUGCCUUUUUUCUCACCUCAGUGGAAGUGUGAAGAGCCUAAUGUUGCUCAAAAGGAGAUCCAAGUUGUCAAAGUAACAGAGAUAAAAAAUGGGGGGGAUGGAGCAAAGAGGGUAAGUUUUGCUUUUUAUUUAUAAAGUAGGCUGUCUUCACACAAGGAUUAUUAUCUUUAAGACAUGAAUGUUGAAUGCUUUUGGAAUUGUCCAUGAAUCAUGUGUAGUGUGAAUGGCCUAAUGCUGCUAAGAAGGAGGUCAAAGUGACAGAAGUAACACACAGAACAUUCGGUGGUACAGCACAGUGGGUAAGGUUUCAUGUCAUAUUUAAAUGGCUCCUCAUAUUUCACUAGGAUUAAUUUUGCCCCUACAAACAUAUUUGGCUACAAGUUAAGACAGAGUUCCAGAUGCUGAUAAAGUUGAGACAUAAGUAAUGAAUGAGUUUAGAAACAUGCACAACUCUUGUGUGAAACACAAUGAGAGUGGAAAAUAGCUAAGUUGAAAAAUGGCCAAAUACUAUUUUGUAGUUCCCCCUACCACUUAAGUAAUUUUUGUCAUCCUUUGUGAAUGGAAAAUCCAGUCCCUUCAGUAAUUCCGUUAUAUUCAUGACUUGGUGAAGCAUAUAACCAUUAGUGUCUUGCCUUAAGUCGACCUUUAAUGAUGAUCCAUUGAGAUGGGUCUGACUUUUGUCAACCCUCUUAUUCCCUUGAUCAUAGAGGUUAAACUUAGGGGGCUUAACCCACUUUUGAACCUUAUUGGAUAUAUGGCACAUGGUAUCCUCUUCAUCUUGAAAGAGUGAAGUGGUCAUACUCUUUCCUCUGAGUCCAUUGUGGCCAUGCACUUCUGGCCCAUUGGGCUGAGUGAAAGGAUUCCCUUCUGCUUCAAAUCAUAGAGAGAUAUGCCAUGGUCAGCCUCUUUAAUUCAAGGGAUCGAAGUACUCAAAUCCAUUUCUCUGCAUCCAUCUUAAUUCUGCAUUCAUGUCUCAUGGUUAACCAAGAAGAUCCAGCUUCCAUCCAUGAGAUCAGCAUCUGCAGGUUUAUGACACCACCCUUCCUUGGCAUAGGAAAGGGAUCAUUAAGCCAUGUGUUGGAUGACAGAAGUCAUCAUUCAGGUUAUCUUGAGAACUAAGGAAGUUGGAAUUCUAAUUAUUGCAUAUGGUUCUUGAUGUUUAGCCAAUAUACCGUAGGAUUUUAAGGAUCAUGCUCAUGUGCAUUGUGGUUGUUUAUCAGCUAUAUGGUUUACCAAAAUGAGGGACUGAUUAUGGUCAUAAGUACCUUUUUCCUAUUAAUUUCUUGCAUGUGCUCUGCUGAGAUUAUGUUUUUGACAGUCCAAAUCAGGGCAAACCAACAAACAGCUUUAUGUUAACUUUUACAAACUGCCACAUUUUCAGGUUAAACGAACAGAGAUAAAUCUUGGUGAAACUAGAAGUAAUACAACUUGUGCUGUGGAGAUAAAAGAAAGGGCAGCGGCACUGGUGGCUGCAGAAAUUGAGGCAUGUAGAGACGAUAGAACCCCCAAGAUACCUCUUCAUGAGAAAGUCCAGAAAGAGUGGGCUUGUGCUGUAUGCCAGGUCACAACCCAAAGUGAAGCGACCUUCAAUUCCCACCUUCAAGGGAAGAGACAUCAGGCCACUUCUGAGCAGCUGAGAGCCAAAAACCAGGCAACCAAAACCAAUUGUUCCCCAUCUGCUUCAAUGGCCAAGAAAUCUGAUCAGUCCACCAAAGAGGAGCAACCGAAGUGUACUUCCAACAAUCUGAAUUCCAAAAACAAUGGAAUCUCAGCUGCUUCAACAGUGAAGAAACCUGAUGACACCAAAGAUGAUGAGCGACAAAAGUCUGCAUCUAGCAAUGAACCGAACCAGAAGAAUAACAAAAAGCAAGAGGUACAGACCAAUGAGCAAGGCCAUCAGAAGAACUUAAAGCAAACUGGCGAUGGAAUGAAAGAGUUGAGAUUAUGCUGCAAUAUCUGUAAUGUAAGCUGCACAAGUGAGCUUGACAUGGCCUCUCAUCUCAAUGGAUGGAGGCACUUUAAUAUGAUAAAGGAGGCGUCUGAAUUAUGGUGCAGUAACUGCAAUGUAAGGUGCAACAGUGAGGCUGUCAUGGCCUCUCACCGAAAUGGGAGGAGGCACUUGAAGCAGCUGAAGGAACGGUCGGGAUUAUAGUGCAGUAUCUGUAGCGUGAGAUUGUGUUAGGAAGAGGUGGAAUGGGUUCCAAUCAGGAAUUAAGACUCGGUUCCAAGACAUGGAAAGUGUCUUUAGAUUAUGUUAUCUCCAUUUUUUUUAUUGUGAGAGGGGAGUAUAAGGAAUGAAAAUAAAUAUAUAUAUAUUUUUUAAUAGAGAUGAAUUUGAUAAUUUUAAUUAUUGUGUUUUGAUGUAUUUAGGAAUGUAAAAUUAAAAUAAUUAUUUAUUUUCAUUUUAGUAUUUGACAAUAAUAAAAUUAUGAAUUAAAAAAUAAUGUGAUAAUAAUACAUUUAUAUUUAAUUUAAAAUAUUUUUUAUUUUAUUUUAGAAGAAUAUGGGUUAAAUUCUUUUUUUAAAUAAUAAGCUUAAGAAAAAUAAUUUUUACUCAAUAAAUAAAAUUAAUCAUAAAAAGUCAUAACAACCUAAUAAAAAUAUAGGGGUAAAAUAAUAAUUUUAAAAUAUUAUUUAAGUUAUCCAAACAAAUUUGACUCUUCAUUCUCUCUCUUGAACCAAAUACGGUCUUUUAAGCGUUUGUCAACUUAUUUUUUUUUGCAAAAUAUCAAUAUUUUACUAAUAUUUUUAUCGAUUAUUUGCCAAUAUUUAUCGCCACGUCACCAAUUCUUUGAGUUUGACUUUCAAAAUUUUGAAAUGAUAUUUGAAGUCCAGUUCAGCCCAAAUCACUACACCCAUGAUUUUUCCCUUUUCUUUUUCUCCUUAAUUUUCACAUCACCCAACAACACUACUCUUAAUUCACACAAAUUUGAAGGUUUGGAACGAGACUUCUUCCUAAUUAUAUUGUAAUUAUGUUAUAAUAACCAUGUCGUAUUUGGAUUUAUUUAUUCAGUCCAUCUAAAUCUUUUGUUUAUUCAUGUAAAAAGAAUAUAGUUAUAAUCGAAUCCAUUUGUGACAUAUUCAUCUUUUAUAAAUUUAUUAAUUUUAUAUAUUUAAAAACUAUAAAAAUUAAAUAUAUUUUUUCAAUUAUGAAUAUCAUAUUACUAAAAUAUUAAAUAACUAAUUAACUUGAAAUGUUUUAUAUUUCAUUCAUUAUUUUAUAAUUACAACAUUAAGUGAAAUAAUAAAUAGGUUAAAAUAUAUAUUUUAUUUUAGUUAAAAAUUAUAAAUUGUUAUUGAGACGUAUAACUAUUAAAAUUCUACCCAUUUGACCAUCAAACAAACAACUUAAGUUUUUAGUCAUAAUUUAAGCUUCUGAUAAACUCUAUUUCCAUAAAUUAGAAACCGAAAUCAAUUUCUUCUUAGACUCAAAAACAUAAAGACAAUCUUUUAAUUCUAGAAGACAUCUAUCAUUUAAGAUAAGGGUAACAUAUCCCAUUGCCUAAACAACAACUCUUGCUUCAAAAGCCAAUGUCAAGUACAUAUCCCUAUCAUUCAACCUUUCCCUUAGCUAAAACCCCUAUAAAGAAUUAUAAACAUAAUCAAUGGCUCCAAAAUUUAUCCACCAAGAGUUAGUGGAAUCCAACACUAAACAUAAUUCAACUAUAAGAGAAUGAUGCAUAGUUGACUAUCUCUUCAAGAACUAAGGACAUUCCUUCUUCUUCUAAUGGCAUUUUUUACCACAAAGGAAACACUUGUCAUGACCCUUACUCUUCUUCUUCUUCCCCUUAGCCUUAAACUUCCCCUUCUGCUUGAUGAACUCUAUAGUGUUCUUCUUAUUUUGGCUAGAAAAACCUAAAGAACCCUUAACUGCCAUAUAAAUACCUCUCUGGUCCUUGAGAAUUCCCUCAGUCAUUUUGUGUUCUCUCAUUAGUUCAAUUGUAGUUUAAGAAAAAUAAUGUUUUUUAUUUUAUUUUAUGUGAUUGAACUUGGAAUGAAUUUCCAAGUUGCAUACAUACUUGGGUUGAGAUCAAGUCAUAACGUAGUUUAAGAAAAAGAUUUUUUAUUUUUUAUGUGAUUGAACUUGGAAUGAAUCUCUAAGCUACCUACGUAUCCAAGAUGGGAUCAAGUUCUAACAUAGUCACAAUGCAGUUCAAGAUUUUUUUUUUUCUUUUUUUGUGCUCUAACUUUUGUCAAGACUAAAGAUCUUAAUCUUGCAAGCAUGUCCUAACUUUUGUCUAGGUCACCUUUCCAAGUUUUCAACUUAGCAAACAUUUUUUUUUUUUGUUCUCUAACGUUUGCCAAGACAAAAGAUUUUAAUCUUGCAAGCAUGUCAUAACUUUUACCUAAGUCAGAUUUUUAGGUUUUCAAUGUGGUGGAUUUUUUUGUUUUUUAUUUUUUAUUUUUUAUUUUUUGUGUCGUAGGCAAUUUAGCUCAUACGGCCCAGAAGCGAUGUGUAGUUUGUUGGGAUUCAACCCUUAAAAGCAAAACAUGAUGUAACAAAGUUAGACUUAACUAUCCCCUUGCUAUCAUUUUGGUGUAUUAACAUUGAUUUAAACAUUCAACUCAUAUUUUACAUUGUACAUGACUUAGGUGCAUUAGGAGUUGCUCAUAAGAUACAUGGAUUCCUUGUAAGUAGAUGAGUUAUCCAUAGUCAGUUCAUGGAUUUGGGCAAUCUAGUAGAGACUGUAAUGCACCACCUCUUAAUUGAAGAGAUGACUUGUCUUGACAGUUGGGAUAGGUUUCCUAUGGUGAGUGCACUAGUAUAUAUGAUGCACAUUGGAUAGGACCUACGGUAAAUCAUGAGCAAAGCUAUCAAUUGUCAUGAUUCACCAAGUUACGAUACUGCAUGGACUCUCAAUCUUGAGAGGACAUUGAACCUGUGCCAAAAUCAACAAAAAGCUUUCACCUAUAGAUGAGACCUUAAAGUGAUCAUAUAUCCCUAUGGAUUGAGUCACUAUUGAUGAAGGUUGGUGGUAAUAGGUAUUCUCAAUAGAGGCACCAUGAUAUCUCAUGAGAUUGAGACGGUGUGUCCCCUUGGGUGAUACAAAGGACAUGUGAUCAUAAAAUCUGUGACCAUAGUAAUUCUUUUAUUGAAAUUUGACAUAUACCCCUUCGAGCUAGAGUAUGUCAGUUGAUUACAUAAUAAGUGGCAUCUAUAACUUAAGGAUUUGAGAGGUAAUCUUGAUAGGUGAUAGCACUACCUUGUUAGAUUAUGGACACCAGUUCAUGGGGAAUCUACAUGCAGUGGAUGAUAUGUCACGAACGCGAGCUUCAUAUCGUUGUUAUUAACAUAGGAUACUGGAGUGCAAUUGAUUCUCUUUAGUAGAAUGUUGAAUCAACUUCAAAAUGGAUUAUGAGGGAGCCAAUACUCCUAUGGGUCUUAAUGGUCCCCACUCUGAGCUCAUAUACCAUGAUGACACAGUUUAUGAGGGUUUGAUUGGCUUUAUGUUCAUUUUUGUGCAUAAGGGCAUUUUGGUAAUUACACAAGGUUACAUAGGGGAUAGUCAAUAAGGUCUUUAGAUUGGGCCAAUUGAUUAAUUAGAUGACCUUAUGUGGUUAAUUAAUCAAUUAUGAUAUGUUUAGGCUAGAUUAAAUGACCCAAGCCUUGAUGAAUUUAAGUCACUUAAGCCUAGCAGAUAACCUUAUAAAUACCCUCUUAUGGGUUAGGGUUUCCUAAUGACUUUCAGUUAAUCAUCUUCCAUCCCUAGAAAGAGAAAGAGAGCCAAAUCUUUCUCCCUUCCAUUGCCCACACUUUGGUAUGCCAAGAUCAUGGUUCAAGUCACUGGGAGGAAGAUCUUGGGUGUACAAGACCUUCGGACUCUUUAAGUUUCUUCUUCGUUGGAUGAAUUUUUAUUUGGGACACAUCUAGAUCAUAAGUAUGUGUUAGAAAAUUUGGCUAAUUCAACUUAAGGUAAUCACUCUAGAGGAGGGGUGAAUAGGGUGAUGAUCUUUUUUUACAAAUUUAAAUUAUGUGAAUGCAAGAGACAAUUAUACUAUGCAAAUAUAUAGUAAAACCAUAUAAAAAUAAUUGCAUAUAAAGUACAAGGGUAGAAAAUAGAGAAUAUAAACACAAGAUUUUUAUAGUGGUUUGGUGCAACUCGGCCUACAUCCAUUCUCCUCUAGCUUCAAUCCCAAGUUUGAGGUUCCACUAAUUCAAGGCUUCCAACCUAACCCUUCAAGCAAUACAAUUGGAUUAUGGUUCCAAUCAAACCUUUUGGACUUUUGGCUCUAAGCACCUUUUACAAUCUUUGAUUCGUGCCUAACUGGUGUUUGCCCUGUUGAUUGGUGUUCAAUCAACUGAUGUGCUUUGAUUUCAGUCCUCAGACGAGAGUAAUCAACAAAAUUUAUAAACCUAUUUCACCAUAUACUAGGGUAGCAUUAGCUAGCAUAGCAUAGUGGCUCUAGGAUCGUCCACAGGGAUGGGUUUUCAAAUUACAAUUGAUAUUAGUUCAAAAACUGAAUUGGUGUUUUUUCUUUUCAAGGUUAGCUUUAAAAGAAAACAUAAGUAUGUGUGAAAAGGUUGGUUUUAAGUGAAACCAAAAAUAAAGUAACUGAAAUUACUUACAAAGAAAAGUGCUUCUUGGAGUUUUAGAUCACUAGGCUCAAGUUCCUUAUACAAAAAGAGAGAUUCCGAUCACUUGGAUCUUUUCCUAGCAUUGGGGAUUUAACAUAUAGUUAUUUCCCGAACCGGUGCGGUACAGAUGCUUCCCCUUAAUGGUUUCAAACACUAAAUCUCUAUCACUGAAUCAUCUUGUAAUGGUUCAUACCUCUCACCUGGUAUUGGUCAUUUAAGGUGAUCAUUAACCUUGGAUUACCCGUCAAAAGCUCGCAAAAGAUAACUAAUGAAUGUCUCCUAGGAGUCCAAAAGCUUACCAAGUGUUGGCUAUUCUAGAUAAUCCUACCUUUAAACCAUCUCCCAAAAGCUCGCAAGAGAUAAACUAGUGGAUCUCAAUGGACGGAGUCCACUUGCCUUACCAAGUGUUGGCCCAAGUGAUUUUAAGGGAUUUUAAGUUAACUAAAAAGAUAAAAACCAUUAACGGGUCACACUUUCUCUUCAUUAAAACCUGAAACAAUGAAACUUCCACUUUUGUAUACGAAACCUUACCUAGCUUCCUUCACUCCAAGAAACAAAAAGCCUAGCCACUCAUCCUCUAGGAAAACAUCCUCAGAGUUUGAUUUGGUAGAAAUAAAAAUAAAAGAGAAAACCAAAUGUGAAGGUAAGGCCGAGCAGAGCUCUGUGUAUUACUUUAUGAAAAACUAUACAAAAUUUGUCUCUAAGAGAAACUCCCCCGAGAUCUCUUUUAAAAGAAAAUUACAAUAGAUAUCAUAUAAAGAGGCUAUUCACCCCUCUUGCUAACUUCCCAACCAUGAAAACUUGUCAAUGGUGGGUUACAAGGAGAAAAUAGGGAUUUACACACAAAUAUUUGAAGAUAAACAUCAAACUGAGUCGGUGCGCAAAUAUCUCAGAUUACAAGUGGAUUUCGCAAGUUCAAACGCAACUUGCAAAAAUUUUGCAAGUUGAAAUUAUGGUUUCGCAAGUUGCGAAAUUGUCCUGCAACUAAUCAGCUCUCUGUCCUACAACAAUUCCUUUCCUCUUCCUAUUUCGCAAGUUGUGAGAAUUUCGCAAGUUGGAUUCCACAACUUGCAAAAUUGUUGGAUGGUUGAUUUCUUUUGUGAUUUUCUUCCUUGCAUCCUCAUUUGGCUUUGGCAAAGGGUUAUGAAGCUCCAAAGCUUAGUUUCUUCAUGAAUUUGAGCUUCAACUUGCUUUGCCAUGAACUAUACAAAGAUCUCCCUCAUUCUUGGAUUGCUUUGGUGAUAAAAAAGCUAUGAAAAACACCAAAACUUAACACAAUUUGAUUAGAAACGAUUGUAAGGGUCUUUAACAUGCCAAUUGAGUUAAAAGGUAAUAGCUACUACUCAAAAGUGUUUAAAAGAGUUAAUUACAAGCUAUAAAAUGACCCUUUUUGAAGUUCAACCCCUUAAGUGAUACCCCUUAAGUGAUACCCCUUAAUUCAAGAGAUGUCUUACUCUUAAACAACCCCUUAAGUGAUACCCCAUACUUGAGAUUCCCUAAGUGAUGCCUCACACUUAGAUUUUUCAUCUCAAAGAUUUACAAAUGAAGAUAGGAAAUAAUCUCACAAAAUCUUAAUACAAAACAUUAGGCUCAAAUGAUACAAGAUAAACUAUGAUUGAAUGGUGCACUAAUAAUAUGCAAGUUUUAAAACAAUGAGUACUAAAAAACACUCUCCUAAGGUUCAAAUAUAUUCAAGAAAGAUUUAAGAAGGUUAAACUCUUGAAACAAUAAAGAUUGAAACCUUUUUAUGGAGGAGAAAUGCCAAACUAGUUGUUGGGGGUUUGUCCAGUCGAGUUCUGGUUUGACCGGUUCACUAACCGUUAGCAUUUAAUGCAUGAUAGGUGAUCAUUGGGCCUUGACCAUCCCUCGACCAGUACUCAACCGGAUAAAGUUCAACCUUAAUCAAUCGAAUAAGCAUUCUAGAAUAGAGAGAAGGUUUUUGCACCUUUCAAUCAGUUGAGUUGAACAAAUAGACGGAUUCCUUAUCCAGUUCAACCGGUUGAGCCAUUUUUGGCUCAACAAUCAUCAUUUUCAACUUAAAACCUUUUAAACAAGUUUAGAAAGCAUUUGACACAAGGAUUUAGUUGAAAACAUUAAAUCAUCCUAUUUUUAAAAGAUUUAAAACAAAAUACCUCUUGAAUGAUUUUGGUGUAUAAGUAAAUAAUGUAAUGCAUGAAAAACCCAGUGCGCCAACAACCUUACAAAGAGAUCUUAUGAGGCUUAGGUAUUGAAAAACACUUCUCUUUAAGGCAGACAACAUCGUGUGAAUACCAAAGGGGAACUCUACGUUCCUAGGGAAAGAUGCCUCGUCAGUACGUCUUGAGGUUGUUCACUAACUUCGGGGUUACCGGCUUUGAGAGGAGCCCUUUGAUGACAUUUGGGCAUGCAACUCUUCAUUUUCUUCCUUGAUUCGCCUUGUUUGGUGGAUCAAAGAUUGCAUAUGCCAGUCAUUUUUGCACUAGGUUCUCUCCAUGCUUUCACGCCAGCCAAAGUAGCUUUCGUUACCCAUAGUUGAGGAUCGGCUUCUAAAGGGUACUAACAUCCUUAGUCAUUCCCACAGAUGACACCAAUGUUGGUUCUGAGUCGGCUGAAGUCAAAUUCAUCCAACUUAACGGAAGUUUGACAACCUUCCUCCAUUUUUUGUGCCUCUUAGAGAAUCCACCUAGCAGUAAUGAGAUUGGGCGAACUCCUUUCUUGCACAAAAGAAUGUUCAGAUGAGUACUUCGGGUACGCCCUUCGAAGCUUAAGUGAGGCAAAAAUAGCUCAAACUACUUAAUGAGAGAGAGUGGAUAGGUGAAUAUGUGCCUACCUUGUUCGUGCUUUUUGAGGGGUUUAUAUAAUGUUGAUGAGAAUGCCACUAUAGUGCUUACUAGACACUUUAACUUUCUUCUAUAAUGAUGAUUGUCUUGCAGGCGGUUGGGCAAUCAUCAAAAUUUUGGGUGGCUGAUAGGUGCCAUCAACUAACGUGCCAUGAUCUUAGACCAUGCAGUAACCUGUUCCCUCAGUCUGUUGAUGGCCUAAGGUUAUGUGCAACAAUUAAUUGACAUGGACUUGAGGGCUAGAAGAGGUCCCAUCGGCCGUUCACAUGUCAAGUGUGAAUGAUCACUCAUGCUAGUGGGUCUUGAAGAUUUGACUAGACAACCUUACCUAUUUGGGAGGUCCAACCUCCCAUUGCCGUUGUUUUGGCCUUAUAGGAGAAAAGGGCUUUCUCAUGUAUGGUGCUAGAGGGACUAGUCGUGAUCCAGAUGAGUUGCAUACCCAUGCUAGAUGGUCGAAGUGUCCGGGUUGGAAAUGGAGGGAAGCCUCCCACAAAUAUGAGGGAGCCUUAUGAAAACGGAUCCUUAGGGCUUAAGAAGGGGUUUUCAAUUUUAAGGUUUGCCUUUUCACCCAAGGAUGUGAAUGGGAAGAUGAGGCGAAGUUAAAAGAUUGGUGAAGCAAAGUGAGGGCAAGGUAGGGUUUGAAUAAAGGAAAGUAUACACUAUUAAUGAAGAUGAUAAUCUCUAGAAAGAAAAACUAAGGUAAACUAGGGCUUUAAUAAUAAUUUUCAAUCUACACUAGUGAAGAGGAUAUCUUCGAAAACCAAAGUUAGGGCUUCAAUAACGAAUUUCAAUCUACAAUGGUGAAGACAAUAAUCUUCGAAAACCAAAUCUAUAAUGAUGAAGAUGAUUGAAAACUAAAUCUAUACUAGUGAAGACGAUUGGAAAGCAAAUCUACACUGGUGAAGACAAUGAAACCAAAUGUAGGUCUUCUAAACUAAACGCUUUUAAGGAUUUUCCUUUUUUUUUUCCUUUGUUUUCAAGAAAGGCAAACUCUUUAGAAAACUAAAAAAACUAAUGCAUUCUUAGAUCCAGAUCACUAUUUCCAACAUGGUAUUUGGAUUGCCAGCUUGCAUUUUUUAUUUUUUUAUUUUUUUAAUAGUCAUUGGCAUUUUAGGGAUUAUUGAAGGAUAAUAUCAUUCAGCUCAAUUUCCCAAAUUAGUUAGGUCUUACACUCAAAUGUGAAACUUAUAUGGAUGUUAGGCCAAUUAUCAAACUCAUCUGCCCUAAAACAUAAUUUCCCUUUUUUAAAAUAGUUGUUAAACAUCUAUCCCAAACACGUUUAACCCUUUGAAUUGCUUGUAUGUUAACCUUGUUUCCUUUUCUUCAUGCAACAUGGCUUAUUGAUGGUUGCAUUGAAUCAUUAUCAUUCACCAAUUCCAUGCAACUAUGGACUACAUUUCAAAUCCCUCGAACAUAAAUGGUAAUUCCAAAACAACUCAAGUAUAAUCUUUUCAACCCUUUCAAAUGAUUUAAUUAAUUGAUUUUUGAAUAUAUUCAUAUAUUUUUUUGAGCAAUUUUUAGGCAUAUAACAUAAAUCUCUUUUUUAUAUAUAUAUAAAAGGUUUUAUAUUUUAUAUUACAAUUUCCUUUUGUUUUUUCAUCUAAAAAACAAAACAUAAAACCUUAAUAAACGAGUUUUGUCACAAUCCCUUAACAAGUAAUCUAUUUUUUAAAUUACUUUAACAUUUUUAGAUAUAUUGAUUCAAUCUAAUUUACUUUUAAUAUUUUUUAUAAAAUAUUUUUACUUUAUAUGACUAUAAAUUAAUUACUAUUGAUUGCAUAUUAUAGAAUAUAUAUUCUAAAAUAUAUCUUAUUGACAAUAUAAUCAUAAGAUGUUAUAUCCAUAUCCUAACAUAUUAUAUACUUUUAUUUUGUGCAAUUAGCAACAUGGUGGGAAGUGGCAAGCAGCUUAACGGAAAUGUCAUGUGCCAAUGUGCCAUGCGUGUCCCUUCCCUUAGUGAGUCUGAACUGCUCCAACAUUUCCGACAUGUUAUUUUUUACUUAGCUCUUAAGUAUUUUCGUCUCGUUUUCGUUAACCCCAUCACAUUUCGCCACAUGGAUCUAAGCCUCAUGGUCCUUUCGUUCGUACAAUGAAUGUUCCCCCAAUUCCUUAUCUACACUAAAACUCCAUACUCGCCAUCUACUCAACCACUUCUCUACUCUAGAGUUUGGGUCCUUUAUCUCUGCACGUGUCUAUGGCUUUUCACCCCAACAAGUAUGGCAUUACAAGGGCAAUAUCGUCAUUAAAGACCCAAAAGGGAAACCAAUGGCAUUAUCUUCCUUUUGGUCUAUUCUAUUUAUAUUGUAAGUUAUUCGUGAUGACUUCUCCCAUAAAAGCUAAAAACCACUCCAAUAGAGCACACUUCACUUCUUCAUUUUUUUUUUUCCAGAUAAGCUCAGAAAGCCCAGCUCAUCCCUCAACUCCCCGAUGGGUUUGAUGAAUGUUCUUAAAUUCUCAACUGCAUGCUUUGAUCUUCUUAUCUGGUAUAUUGUCCACGCAUUUUCUUGUCAUUGGAAAAUUUUGGAAAAUGAAAUGGAAUUCUAUGUUUGAUGACAAAACUGGGAUUUGCUUUGAUUUCUCCAUGUUGGUUUUAUCCCUUUUGUUUGAAUUGUCCACAUUCUUGUCAUUGGUUGUUAGUUAUUUGUUUGGAUUUCUACUUGUAGGCCUCUGUUUGCACUGGGUUAUCCUCUAUAAAUCUUGGUCUUACACACCAAGAUAUGAUGAUUCAUUUACUCUUUUCUUGUUCUAUGAAUUCUUAGUUCUGUUACAUUUAUUGGGUUGGAAAACUGAAAAAGGAAAGGAUUAUUCGUUAUUAUCAUAAUAAUCAUCAACGUCAUCUCAAUUAUUCACAGAUGUGCAUCAAUUCAGGUAAUUGAGACUAACUCGAUCUCAGACAUUCAGAAGUUGGUGGCAUAUUGGGUUCUAUUUUCCUUGAUUUCACUUUUUGAUCGUACUUUUUCCAAGCUCCUUGAAUGGUAAUUUUGUUCAACUUCAUUCCAUCAUAUGUGGCUCUAUUUGUUUCAUUUCUUUGCCCUUCAGGAAUUUGGAGUUGCCUUUUUUAGUUUUCUUCCCUGUGAAAAUAAUCGAGAUGUUUAAUGUUCCAAGCCUCCAUGUAUUUUAUUUUCCUUCAUUUCUCUGCUUUGAUAAAUCCCCAUGAUUUGAUCAGCAAAAAGGCUAUAACAUUUGACAAAGAAAUGCUUUAUUUUGGUUUUUUAAGUACAACAAUUUUCAUUUGGAGAAAUGGUCUAAAGGGUAUCGGUGUUUGGAUGAAUCAUGGAAUUUUCUCGCUAAUUUGGGAUUUAUUCUCAAUUUCAAUAUCAUUGUGGAUAUUUCAAAAAUUAAUGAAAUAUAUAUGAUGGAAUGUGAUUUUCUUGUUUAAGAAAAGUUUUUCUUUAAAAAUUUAGGUAACCCUGACCUACCUUAUUGUGCUACUCGAAACACAAAACAAAAGUACAAGUAAUUUAGUAACUAAAUUGCACACUUUUUGAUAGUUCAAGGAAGUGGUGUUAGCUUUGGAAAUAAGAUGGAUCUACUAGUUUUUAUUUCUCAUCUUUAUAGGGAACUUUCCAUAAUAUAGCUUAUAAAUACCAUAAUCACAGUGAUGAAUAAUUGUCUUGUUUGAAAGCAUGGUUGCACUUAUUUGCAUGGAAUUUGUCUGCGUUGAAAUUAAAUUAAGCUUUAUGCAUCAUUUGGAUGCUGAGAAACAAAUGAAAAUAGAAAAUUCAAAAUUUGACAAGUUUGUGUAGGGAAAUUGGAUCUAAUCUCUUAAUCGAAGCUUAAUUAGGGCAAAUGUUGAUCCUCUUUGGACCUAUUGAAAGCUCUAAUCUGUGCACAAUUCUAAUGUUUUUGUUUCCUUAAUUUCUUUUUCAACUUUUCAACAAAGCAUCAAUUUGCUAUAAUAAAUGAGAACCAACUUGACGAUGAGAAAAAUGACUGGUGAUGAUGUCAUAGAGAAUCGCAGAUGAGAACAACCAAAAAUACUAGGAUUGGUACCACUGAUGGUAAUGAAGAAAACACAAAAAUGGUGCAAAUGGUGAACAGGAAACUCAAAAUGGAAUGGGAAAAGAAACCUAAACAAUAGUCUCCUAUAUAAAGCACACAACAUGUACAUCGAGGCAUCUGAAAGGACACGCUGCCUGAGAAGUCACUCUAAUUGAUGUGACUCCUCAUGACGUGGGUGGUGGACAUAUGUCCCAUGGUGCCAAAAAUUUCAAACACUCAAGCAACCGAAUACUUUCACUUAGUCAUUUAAAGCCUAGCUAGACUCAAUUGCAAGAAUUAAGGGCAUUGUGGGAUGCUCACCACCGUCUAUCAUGGUCCUCAAACACUGUCUGGUGUGAGACAUAUUGGCACAAGAGCCAUGUAGCUUCUCUAUCCACCCCAAGAUACUCCUAGGGUAGCAAACGAACACAAUCCGACCAAACACUAUGCAUUCCUACCCUACAAGCAUUAAUUUCAAUGAGCAAUAAGUGUAUUAACACAUUAAUGAAUGCAACCGUUAUAACGCUAAAACGCCAUACUUUAAGGUUCAUCAAGACACAACAACCAUUAUGGGCCGACAAUUAUUGGCGUUAAAUAUGGUAAUGCGCAAUCAAAGGCUCAAUUAAGGCCCUUUAGAAGACGUUACUAUUGGGCAAAGAUAAAUAACCAUUUUUUACCACAAGAAAGUCUGAUGCCAUUUUUUUCACAAAAACUUUUGCUUAAGUCUUCCAUCUCUAACCUAAGCUUUGAAGGGGUGUACUUGGAAAACCUAUCCGAACAUUCCUUUAUGUAGGUGCAAUCAUCGUUUAUGUCACGCGAAGGCUAGUCAAAGACCUUUAUUGGUCGUGCACCAAUAAAUCUAUUUAGUAUAUCUCAUUUAUCCGUUCAAGUGAGAUGAAGGAGUGACCUAAAGAUAGAUUGGAAACAUCAUAGUUUCUUAUAUUGGUAAGGCAGCAACAACCUCGGCUAGUGCAUCAACCUGCUCGUUUUCCUCUAGGGGUACGCGUUUGAUAAACCAUUCAUUCAAUUUUUCUGUUCAAGUGUACCAAAGAGAGGUAAUGAGCCAUGCAUUCAUCUCAAGCUUCAUAUUUUAGUUAGAUUUGUUCACCCACUAGUUGUGAAUUGCUUUUGAUUUCUACUUUCAUGGUUGUGAGAGCUAAGGCUAGAUCGUCUCAUAAGAAUUGCUUCAUAUUUUGCCUCAAUAUUAGAUACUGGAAAGUUGAGACAGACGACUUGUUCAAUUUGCUCUCCUGUAAGGAAUUGUUGUGUUAGUCCUAUCCUAGCUUCUGAUGUUCUAGAGGCUUCGUCUACAUGGAGAACACGCCAUUGUUCUUCAUUGUUAGACCUUGUCCAUUUUUGGGGUGGUUCGACUAUGAAAUCAAUGAGAACUUGCUAUUUGAGAUACUAAUGAGGUUUGUACCGUAUGUAAUAUUCACUCAAUUUGAUUGCCCAAUUCACCAUUCGACUAGAUAGAUUUAGCUUGUGCAACGUGACCCACAACGGUUGAUUUGUCAAGACCGUUAUUUGGUGCGCCUGAAAAUAUGGACAAAGCUUCUUGGCAGCGAUCCGUAAGUUCAGAGCCAUUUGUUCCACUUAAGAAUAUCGUGUUUUUGUGUCAAUCAUAGCUUUUCUCACAUAGUAAAUAAGUCUUUGUUCAUUACUCUAAUUGUGUGGAAACAAUAUGACAUUGACAGCAAAGUUUGACACAACCAGGUACAUGUAUAACUCUUCUCUAGCUUCAAGACUACUUAAGAUUGGUGGCUUCGUAAGAUACUGUUUGAUGUCUUUAAAGGCAUGCUCACACUCAUCCAUCUAACUAGACAUCUUUGCUCCCUAGAGUUUGCUCAAGAAAGGUCUGAGCUUAUUUAUGAAGCGUGUUAUGAACCAACCUAAGGUGAUUAGACACCCAGUUAGACGUUGCACUUCCUUCUUGCUAGUAGGAGCAGGGAUUUCUAACACUACUUUCACUUGAGCCAGAUCGACUUCAAUACCCCCUUUGAGUCACCAUGAACACAAGAAACUUCCACUCACUUACUCUAAAUGCAUAUUUUAUUGGAUUAAGCUUCAUGUCAUACCUGCACAUUAAACUGAAUGCUUCUUCCAAAUGGAGGAGCUUCUUGGAACGAGUUAUUCUCUUAAUGACAAUGUCAUCGAUAUAGACUUCCAACGUUCGACCUAUCAAGGGCUUAAAAAUAUGGGUCAUCAACUGUUGGUACGUAGCUCCAAUGUUCAUUAACCCAAGCGACAUGAUCUUGUAAAAGUACAACUCCUUAUGUGUAAUAAAUGUCAUCUUCUCUUUGUCAUGUGGAAACAUUGGUAUCUGGUGGUAUCCAAAAGAAGCAUCAAGAAAAGACAACAUUCCAUGCCUGGUUGUGGCAUCGACUAUCUAAUCUAUCUAGAGCAAUGGGAAGCUAUCUUUCAAGCAGACUUCAUUCAUAUCCACGUAGUCUGCGCACACCUGCCAUUUUUCUCCUUUCUUGGUACCACUACCACAUUUGUUAACUAGUCCAAGUAGGUCACCUCCUUGAUAAAUCUUCCUUUUAAUAGCUUCUCAACUUCUAUCUAGAUAAUUUUUUGAUGAUCCAACUAGAAACGUCAGACUUUAUAUUGUAUGGGUCGUGCUGUAGGAAGAAGGUUCAACUUAUGAGAGCUCACCGCUAGGUCUAUUCCAAGCAUUUCCGAAUGAAUCCACACGAGGAUAUCCUUGUUUUUACAAAGCAUUUCACCAACAUUACCACAUUCAUCCCUAGUUAGCAAAAAAUUAGCGUAAGUCAUCUGCUUAUUAUUUUUCGACAAAGAUAGCUAUUGUAAUAGGCUGAUUGCCAAUGAGUCUCUAUCCUCUAGUUUUCCUUCGACCUAAUUCUAUAAUUGUUAUUAGCUCUCUCUUGAUGAUUUGAGUUCAUCUUUAGUUGGGCCUGAACUCCAUCGCCACUUAGUAACACUACUAGGUGGCUAAUUGGAUUCCAUGUGGAUCCACUUACCCAAAUUCUGUCAGGUAGCUCACCAUCUUAUGAUAGGUGGAUGGAAUAACUUUCAUCUUAUGUAGGUACGACAACCUUAUGAUGGUGUUGUACGACGGUAAAUCCUCUACUAUAGAAAAUCAUACGUUGAGAGUAGGCGGGUUGGCUUGGACAAGAAGUACCACGUCGCAUAGUGAUAUUGUGGCAACCCUAUUAAACCCAAACAAAAGUCGAACUAGAUUUUCUAAGGCAGAUGACGAACAUCCCAUUUUCCUGUAGGUUGACAUAUGCAAUAAAUUGGAAUGAUCAUUUUAGGAAGGAUCACUUGAUUAAUGUUAAUUGAAGGGAAAGUGAUUGGGUCAUUGACUGGUCGGGCACUUUCGACAGUAAAUGUGCACUGAACUGCACUUACUCUUUCCCUCCCUGUAGUCGCACAGAGCAUUCGUCUCCUUUGUUGUUUGGAGUGAUAUUUGUCAUCUACUAUUUCCCCAUGGAUAUAGUUAAUCACUACUCGAUGUGUUGUGGGAGAGUCAGGAACUCACUCUGACACUUCACGUGUCAUUUCUUUAUGUCCACCAGUUGCUCAGACAUACAACUUGAGAUGUCCGGUAAUGAUUAGUUUCUCCACCAAGUAGUGCAAAUUUUUGCACUCUUCUGUGGUGUGCCCAUGCUCCUUAUGAUAGAAUCAUCGCAAUCCUCGAUCAUGCUUGGACGAAUCAGUUUUGAUGGGCUCUAGCCACUUGAACUCGAGCAGCUCUCAAAUCAAGAGGAGAAUUCUAUCAUAAAAAAUGGUCAACGGGGUGAGCCUAGGCGAUUAUCAUUGUUGUUGUCUUUCUUGUCCUUGAUUAGUCUAUCUAGACUGGCUUGAGGGCUUUAAGCUCUUAGCCUUCUUUUUUAAUUGCUCGGUUUAUAACCAGGAUUUGUUGAGAGGUUACCUAAACAUCCUCCUCAAGCAUGACAUGUUUGCCCACUCGUCUAAAUAGGUCAUUCAUUGUAGUGGGCAACUUUUUGGCCAUGGACUUGAAGAAUUGAGUGCUUGGACUGAUGAUCCAUUUGAAGAUCUGCAGGAUAGCAUCCAUGUUGUAAGAUUCCAUCUAGAACACCGCUUGUCUGAAUCACUUCAUGAAGUCCCUUAGCGAUUCAUUCUCCUACAUCUGAAUGUUCUAUAAGGUGCUUAUAUUCUGCUUUUGGCGAGCAAAACAUAAAUAAUGGCCCACAAAGGCCUCUAAAACAUCUGUCAUCUGUUGUUGGAAGUGCAUCAGGUGAACAAAAGAGUCACCAUCCCAUAGUAAAUAGUAAAUUUGGGCACCGGAAACCCCUGGGCAGCUCAUAACUAAUGAUAUGUGGGUCAAACGACAUGAAGAGCAUGUCAUCCAAUCAUCUACUUAUGGAGUCAAGAGGGGCUUUUGUCAAUGGGUUAUUUGUCGAUUGUAGUUCUAGUAUUGAACAUUAAGGCAGACGGCUUGGUGAUGCCUCAUCGUUUGAUUGGCCUAAUUGUGCUUUCAAGGCCUCCAAUAUGCAUGGCGAUGCUAGUGUUCUUCUCUCCUGAUACCCAAGAUAGGCUUUCAGGGCAUCUGAGAGACGUAAGCCCCAUUCUUAACCCAUUUUCCAUUUUUCUCCAAUAGAGCUUGCAACCUCUUUCGCUUGAGUUCGAUCGACUACUGAAUGCACUAGUUCAAGUAAUGUUAGCGAACUGCUAGUAGACAAUCCCUCAUCCACUGUUUGUAGAGACGACUUAGUGUAUCAUUGAAGAACUUUCAUUGUUUGGCUUCAAACUACUCUUGAAGUCGUCUAUUGGUUGGAGGUACGAUGACUUUUUUAUCAGCACCCCAUAGCCACUUGUGCUCGUAGCUCUUGGUUCUCUUGCUGUAGUUGUUCUGCCUGUUGGACAGGGACUACAUAGGUUAUUCAUAUUCUUCUUGCUUUUUUUCUAUCUUUCCUUGCCAAGCUUGGAAUCGCUCGUCAACAUUUGCAGAAUGAGUUGCAGGAGGCGUGUUAACCAUCGUGUUUUUUAGGCAUUUGUGGUUGAUUCCCAUAGACAAUGCCAAUGUUGGUGCACGACCAGUAAAAAAAGGUGUUUGGCUAGUCUCCAUGUAACAUAGAUGACGAUUGCACCUGCACAAAGGAAUGUCUGAAUGGGUUUUUCAGGUACACCUUUCCAAAGCUUAGGUCAGAAAUGGAAGACUUAAGCAAGAGUUUUUGUGGAAAAAUUGGUAGCAUACUUUUCUUGUGGUUAAGAAUAACUAUUUAUCUUUGUCCAACUAUAAUAUCUUCUCAGAUGCCUUAAUUGAGCCUUUGAUUGUGCAUUAUCAUCUUUAAUGUCAAUGAUAGCCAACCCAUAAUGGUUGUUGUGUCUUGAUGAACCUUAAAGGUUGGCGUUUUAACCUCAUAAUGAUUGCAUCCAUCAAUGCGUUAAUGCACUAAUUGCCUAUUGCAAUUAAUGCUUGUUGGGCAAGAAUGCAUAGUGCCCGAUUAGAUUGUGUUUGUUUGGUACCCUAAGAGUACCCUGGGGUGGACAAAAAAGCCACAUGGCUCUUGUUCUAACAUGUCUCGACUAGACAGUGUUUGAGGAUCAUGUUAGAUGGUGAUGAGCAUCCCACAGUGAAGACGUAUGAUGAAAGCAAAGGUAGGGCUUCUAAACCAAACGCUUUUAGGGAUUUUUUUUUUUUUUUCAACAAAGUUGACCUCUUCAAGGAAAAAAAAAAAGGUUAAAAAAACUAUUGCUUUUUUGGAUCCAAAUCACCAUUUCCAAUGUGAUAUUUGGAUUUCCACCAUGUAUUUUUUUUUUUUUUAACAGUCAAGGACAUUUUAUGGAUUAUUGAAAGAUAAUAUCUUUCAACUUAAUUUCCUACAUUAAUUAAGUCUUAGGCUCAAAUGUGAAACUUAAGUGGUUGUUAGGCCAUCAAACCCAUCUGCCCUAAAGUAUAAUUUCCCAUUUUCAAAAUAUAUAGUUGUUAAACAUCUAUCCCAAACUAUUGUAACCCUUUGAAGUGCUUGGUAUGUUAACCUUGUUUCCUUUUCCUUAUGCAACAUGGCUAAUUGAUUGUUGCAUUGAAUCAUUAUCAUUCACCAAAUCCAUUCAACUAUGGACUUACCUUUCAAAUCCCUCUAACAAAAAUGGUAAUUCCAAAACAACUCAAGUCUAAUGUUCUCAACUCUUUCAAAUGAUUUAAUUAAUUGGUGUUUGAAUAUACCUCUUAUAUUUUUUUAGAGCAAUUUUUAGGCACAUAACAUAAAUUUCUAAUUUUUUUUUAGAAAAGGUUUUAUAUUUUAUAUUUUAUAUUACAACUUCCCCUUUUUUUUCCAUCUAAAAAACAAAACAUAAAACCUUAAUAACCGAGUUUUGUCACAAACCCUUAACAAAUAAUCUAUUUUCCAAAAAUUACUUUAACAUCUUUAAACAUAUUGAUUUAGUAUACUUUACUUUUAAUAUUUUUUGAAAAAUAUUUUUAUUUUAUAUGAUUAUUAAUUAAUUAAGAUUGAUUGGGUAUGGUAGAAUAUAUAUUCCAAAAUACAUCGUAUUGAGAACAAUAUCACAAGAUAUUAUAUCCAUAUCUUAACAUAUUAUAUACUUUUAUUUUGUGCAAUUAGCAAUUGGACGGAAGGUAGGGAGCCGGCUUAAUGGAAAUGUCGCAUCUCACGUGUGUCCCUUCCCUUACCAAGUCUCAACAAAGGAUGAAAAUAUCGGUAAUCACGGAUAUAUCGGUACUUCGAUUUUACGGAUAUAUUAGAUAUAUCAGAGAUAUAUUGACGGAUAUUUUGGAAAAAAAUAUCGAUAAGCCUAAAAUUGAUCAAAAUUUAUAAAAAUAUAAAAAAAACUUCAUAAAAAUGUAAUUAAAAGAAGGUCGUAUAAGUUACUCAUGUUGAUCAUGUGAUAUAUCACGAGAUAUAAUCGAUUUUUGGGAAUUUCUCACGAAAAUAUCGCGACAUUUCUUCCUUGUCUCGACUGCUCCAAGAUUUCCUAUACGCCCUUCUUCGCUUAGCUCUUAAGUCUUUUCUUCUCCUCUUCCUCAAACCCAUCACAUUUCGCCGCGUGGAGCUAAGUCUCAAGGUCCUUUUGUUCGUACGAUGUAUGUUCCCCCAAUUCCUCAUCUACCUUGAAACUCCAUACUCGCCAUCUACUCAACCACUUCUCUACUCUAGAGUCUGGAUGCUUUAUCUCCGCGAGUGUCGAUGGCUCUUCACCCCAGCGAGUAUGGAAUUACAAGGGCAAUAUCGUCAUUAAAGACACAACAGGCAAACCAAUGGCAUUGUCUUCCUUUUGGUCUAUUUUAUUUAUGCUGUAAGUAUUCGUGCUUGACUUCUCCCGCGUCUCUUAUAAAAACUAAAGAAAACCACUCCAACAGAGCACACUUCAAGAAUCUUCUUUUUUUUUUUCUUUCCUCUUUCUCUUUACAUAUAUACUGAGAAAGCCCAGCUCAUCCCUCAAUUCCCAGAUGGGUUUUAUGAAUGUUCUCAAGUUCUCAGCUGCAUGCUUUGAUAUUCUUGCCUGGUAUGUUGUCCACGCAUUUUCUCGCCAUUGGAAAUUUUUGGAAAAUGAAGUGGAAUUCUCUGUUUGAGGACAAACAUGGGAUUUUCUUUGAUUUCUCCCUGUUGGUUUUAUCUAUAUUCUUUGGAUUACCCACAUUCUUGUCAUUGAUUGUUAGUCAUUUGUUUGGAUUUCUACUUGCAGGCCUCUAUUUGCACUGGGUUAUCCUCUGUAAGUCUUGGUCUUACACCUCAAGAUAUGAUGAUUCAUUUACUCUUUUCUUGUUCUACGAAUAGUUCAGUUACAUUUAUUGUGUUGGGAAACUGAAAAGGGAAAGGAUUAUUCUUUAUUAUCGUAAUAAUCAUCAACAUCAUCUCGGUUCUUCACAGAUGUUCUUCAAUUCGGGCAAUUGAGACUAACUCAAUCUCAGACUUUCGGAAGUUGGUGGCGUAUUGGGUUCUAUUUUCCUUGAUUUCACUCUUUGAUCAUGCUUUUUCCAAGCUCCUUGAAUGGUAAUUUUGCUCAACUGCGUUCCACUAUAUGUGACUCUGUUUGUUUCAUUUCUUUGCCCUUAAGGAAUUUGGAGUUGCUUUUUUCAGUUUUCUUUCCUAUGAAAAUAAUCGAGAUGUUUAAUGUUCCAGGCCUCCAUGUAUUUUAUAUUCCUUCAUUUCUCUGCUUUGACAAAUGCUCACAAUCUGAUCAGCAGAAAGGUUAUAACAUUUGAAAAAGAAGUGGUUUAUUUUUGUUUUUUUUAAGUACAAUAAUUUUCGUUUGGAUAAAUGGUCUGAAGGGUGUUUGUGUUUGGCUGAGUUCAUGGAAUUUUCAAGCUAAUUUGGGAUUUAUUCUCAAUUUCAAGAUCAUUGUGGAUAUGUCAGAAAUUAAUGAAAUAUAAAUGGUGGAAUGUGAUUUUCUUGUUUAAGAAAAGUUUUUCUUUGAAAAUGCGGGUGCACCAGACCUACCUUAUUGNNNNNNNNNNNNNNNNNNNNNNNNNNNNNNNNNNNNNNNNNNNNNNNNNNNAUCAGAUUCAACUGUGAUAGCCCGGAAUUUAAUUCAGUAUUCGACUCUUCUGGGAACAUGUUGGUUAUGGUUUCUCUCUCACUGUCCUCUUCUUUACACAUGACUUUUCAGUUGAGGAGCACAAAGCCUAAUGUUGAAGUGAAAGAGAUCAAAGCACCUGCAGCACCGGAGAAAAAAGGGGAACAGGUAAGUACUCUAAUGUGGCUAUUUAAUUUCUAUGGAGGCAGAUCCCCAGAGAAAUGCUGUUCAUGUAAAUUACUGAUGCAUUUGAUUCAAUGGCCACGGUUUUAAAAGAAAAACCACUUUAUGUAUGUUUCUGUGAAUGAGAGAACAAGUUUAUGGAUUAAAUGAUAUUUUUUAUGGUGAAAUAAUCAAUAAUUUUCAAAAUAAUAAUACAUUCCUGCAUGUUUUUGCAAUUCAUGAAUUCCUUUUAUGAUUGAUUCUUCUCACCUUUUUUCUCACCUCAGUGGAAGUGUGAAGAGCCUAAUGUUGCUCAAAAAGAGAUCCAAGUAGUCAAAGUAACAGAGAUAAAAAAUGGGGGGGAUGGAGCAAAGAGGGUAAGUUUUGCUUUUUAUUUAUAAAGUAGGCUGUCUUCACACAAGGAUUAUUAUUAUUAUUAUUGUUAUUAUUUUAAGACAUGAAUGUUGAAUGAUUUUGGAAUUGUCCUUGAAUCAUGUGAAGUGUGAAUGGUCUAAUGCUGCUAAGGAGGAGGUCAAAGUGACAGAAGUAACACAGAGAACAUUUGGUGGUACAGCACAGUGGGUAAGGUUUCAUGUCAUAUUUAAAUGGCUCCUCAUAUUUCACUAGGAUUAAUUUUGCCCCUACAAACUAUUUGGCUACAAGUUAAGACAGAGUUCCAGAUGCUGAUAAAGCUGAGACAUAAGUAAUGAACGAAUUUAGACACAUGCACAACUCUUGUGUGAAACACAAUGAGAGUGGAAAAUAGCUAAGUUGAAAAAUGGCCAAAUACUAUUUUGUAGUUCCCCCUACCACUUAAGUAAUUUUUGUCAUCCUUUGUGAAUGGAAAAUGCAGUCCCUUCAGUAAUUCCAUUAUAUUCAUGACUUGGUGAAGCAUAUAACCAUUAGUGUCUUACCCUAAGUCGACCUUUAAUGAUGAUCCAUUGAGAUGGGUCUGACUUUUGUCAACCCUCUUAUUCCCUUGAUCAUAGAGGUGAAACUUAGGGGGCUUAACCCACUUUUCAAUCUUAUUGGAUAUAUGGCACGUGGUAUCCUCUUCAUCUUGAAAGAGUGAAGUGGUCAUACUCUUUCCUCUGAGUCCAUUGUGGCCAUGCACUUCAGGCUCAUUGGGCUGAGUGAAAGGAUUCCCUUCUGCUUCAAAUCAUAGAGAGAUAUGCCAUGGUCAGCCUCUUUAAUUCAAGGGAUUGAAGUACUCAAAUCCAUUUCUCUGUAUCCAUCUUAGUUCUGCAUUCAUGUCUCAUGGUUAACCAAGAAGAUCCAGCCUCCAUCCAUGAGAUCAGCAUCUGCAGGUUUAUGACACCACCCUUCCUUUGCAUAGGAAAGGGAUCAUUAAGCCAUGUGUCGGAUGACAGAAGUCAUCAUUCAGGUUAUCUUGAGAACUAAGGAAGUUGGAAUUCUAAUUAUUGCAUAUGGUUCUUGAUGUUUAGCCAAUAUACUAUAGGAUUUUAAGCAUCAUGCUCACGUGCAUUGUGGUUGCUUAUCAGCUAUAUGGUUUGCCAAAAUGAGGGACUGAUUAUGGUCAUAAGUACCUUUUUCCCAUUAAUUUCUUGCAUGUGCUCUGCUGAGAUUAUGUUUUUGACAGUCCAAAUCAGGGCAAACCAACAAACAGCUUUAUGUUAACUUUUACAAACUGCCAUAUUUUCAGGUUAAACAAACAGAGAUAAAUCUUGGUGAAACUAGAAGUAAUACAACCUGUGCUGUGGAGAUAAAAGAAAGGGCAGCAGCACUGGUGGCUGCAGAAAUUGAGGCAUGUAGAGACGAUAGAACCCCCAAGAUACCUCUUCAUGAGAAAGUCCAGAAAGAGUGGGCUUGUGCUGUGUGCCAGUUCACAACCCAAACUGAAGCGACCUUCAAUUCCCACCUUCAAGGGAAGAGACAUCAGGCCAUUUCUGAGCAGCUGAGAGCCAAAAAUCAGGCAACCAAAACCAAUUGUUCCCCAUCUGCUUCAAUGGCCAAGAAAUCUGAUCAGUCCACCAAAGAGGAGCAACCGAAGUGUACUUCCAAUCUGAAUUCCAAAAACAAUGGAAUCUCAGCUGCUUCAACAGUGAAGAAACUUGAUGAGACCAAAGAUGAUGAGCAACAAAAGUCUGCAUCUAGCAAUGGACCGAACCAGAAGAAUAACAAAAAGCAAGAGGUACAGACCAAUGAGCAAGGCCGUCAGAAGAACUUAAGGCAAACUGGUGAUGGAAUGAAAGAGUUGAGAUCAUGGUGCAAUAUCUGUAAUGUAAGCUGCACAAGGGAGCUUGACCUGGCCUCGCAUCUCAAUGGAAGGAGGCACUUUGAUAGGAUAAAGCAGCUGUCUGAAUUAUGGUGCAGUAACUGCAAUGUAAGGUGCAACAGUGAGGUUGAUAUGGCCUCUCACCGAAAUGGGAGGAGGCACUUGGAGCAGCUGAAGGAACGGUUAGGAUUAUGGUGCAGUAUCUGUAGUGUGAGUUGCAACAGCAAGGUGGACAUGGAUUCUCACCUAAAUGGGAAGAUUCACUUGGAUCAGAUCAAGGACCAGUUAAGAUUAUGGUGUGGGGCAUGUAAUACAACCUGCAAGAGUGAGCGCAACAUGGCCUUUCAUCUGAAUGGGAGGAAGCACUUAGAGAAGAAGGGGAAUACCUGAUUUGCAUGUUUCUUCAGAUUAUUGAUACUUACAAAUGGUUUUAGUUAGAAGCAUACAGGCCAGUGGGUGGUGGUCACAGAUGCCUCUAUUUUGUUGUAUGAAGUAAAAACAGUAUUUCCAUGUCCAGAAAUCAACCACUUGUUUAGUGCAUGCAUGGCUGGUUCAAAAUUAAACCUAAUUGUGAAUGACUAGGAGCAGGGAGGGAAAAAUUGAAGGGAAGAAUGUAAGAUUAUGGCUUCAUUUUUAUUUUUUCCUCUUCUGAAAAUUGUAAGAUUGUGUUAGGAGGAGCUGGAAUGGGUUCAAAUCAGGAAUUAAGACCCAGUUCCAAGACAUGGAAAGUGUCUUUAGAUUAUGUUAAGUUAUUUCCAUUUUUUUUUCUUUUCUAUUUUUUUUCUUUAUUUAUUGUAAGAGGGAGCAUAAAUGAAUUUUUAUUUUUUAUUUUUUUUUUCAGAAUAAAGAUGAAUUUGAUAAUUUCAAUUAUUGCGUUUGGAUGUAUUUCGGAACGUAAGAUUGAAAUAAUUAUUUGUUUUCAUUUUAGUGUUUGAUAAUAAUGAAAGUAUGAAUUAAAAAAUAAAUUGAUAAUAAUACUCUUACAUUUAAUUUAAAACAAUUUUUUAUUUUUAUUUUUAUUUUAGAAGAAUAUGGGUUAAUUUUAUUUAUUUAUUUUUUAAAUAAUAAGCUUAAGAAAAAUAAUUUUUACUCAAUAAAUAAAAUUAAUCAUACAAAGUCAUAAAAACCAAACCAAAAUAUAAGGGUAAAAUAGUAAUUUUAAAAUAUUCAUUUAAGUUAUCCAAAUGCAUUCCUACUCUUCAUUCUCUUGUACGAAAUACGGUCUUUAAGCGUUUGUCAAACUUAUUUCUUUUUUGGCAAUAUAUCAAUAUUUUAGUAAUAUUUUUAUCGAUUAGUUGCUGAUAUUUAUCGCCACGUCACCAAUUCUUUGAGUUUGACUUUCAAAAUUUUGAAAUGAUCAUUGAAGUCCAGUUCAGCCCAAAUCACUACACCCAUGAAAGGGAACGGCUGGGCCACCACACUAAUAUGGCCCAUACAUGGGACCUCGUAAAAGAAUACCCAUCUUCAAAAAUAGGGACCAUAUUAAAUUAUUAAUGUAGCUAUAGGAAGCAUUUGAGGACAAGGGUCAUGAUUUUUCCCUUUUCUUUUUCUCCUUAAUUUUCACAUCACCCAACAACACCACUCUUAAUUCACACAAAUUUGAAGGUUUGGAAUGAGACUUAUUCGUAUUUAUAUUGUAAUUAUGCUAUAAUAAUCGUGUCGUAUUUGGAUUUAUUUAUUAAAUCCAUCUAAAUCUUUUGUUUAUUCGUGUCAAAACAAUAUAUUUAUAAUCGAAUCCAUUUAUGACAUAUUCAUCUUUUAUAAAUUUAUUAAUUUUAUAUAUUUUAAAAUUAUAAAAAUUAAAUAUAUUUUUUCAAUUAUGAAAUCAUAUUACUAAAAUAUUAAAUAAUUCAUUAACUUGAAAUGUUUUACAUUUCAUUAAUUAUUUUAUAAUUACAACAUUAAGUGAAAUAAUAAAUAGGUAUAAAAUAUAUAUUUUAUUUUAGUUAAAAAUUAUAAAUUGUUAUUGAGACAUAUAACUAUUAAAAUUCUACCCAUUUGACUAUCAAACAAACAACUUAAGUUUUUAGUCAUGAUUUAAGCUUAUGAUAAACUCUAUUUACAAAAAUUAGAAACCAAAAUCAAAUUCUUCCUAGACUCAAAAACAUAAAGACAAUCUUUUAACUUUAGAAGACAACUAUCAUCUAAGAUAAGGGUAACUCAUCCCAUUGCAUGUACAACAAUUCUUGCUUCAAAAGCUAAUGUUAGGUACAUAUCCCUAUCAUUCAACCUUUCCCUUAGCUAAAACCCCUAUAAAGAAUUAUAAACAUGAUCAAUGGCUCCAAAAUUUAUCCACCAAGAGUUAGUGGAAUCUAACACUAAAAAUGAUUCAACUAAAAGAGAAUGAUGCAUACCUAACUGUCUCUUCAAGAACUAAGGGCAUUCCUUCUUCUAGUGGCUUUUUUUACCACAAAGGAAACACUUAUCAUGACCCUUACUCUUCUUCUUUUUCCCUUGCCCUUGAACUUUCCCUUCUGCUUGGUGAAUUCUACAAUGUUCUUCUUAUUUUGGUUAGAAGAACCUAAAGAACACUUAACUGCCAUAUAAAUACCUCUCUGGUCCUUGAGAAUUCCCUCAAUUGUUUUGUGUUCUCUCAUCAGUUCGGUUAUAGUUUAAGAAAAAAAAUGUUUUUUUUAUGUGACUAAACUUGGAAUGAAUGUCCAAGUUGCAUACAUACUCGGGCUAAGAUCAAGUCAUAACGUAGUUUAAGAAAAAAGAUUUUUUUUUUUUUUUUUUUUUUUUUUUUUUUGUGAUUGAACUUGGAAUGGAUUUCUAAGCUACUUACGUAUCCAGGAUGGGAUCAAGUUCUAACAUAGUCACAAUGCAGUUCAAGAAUUUUUUUUUUCUUUUUUUGUGCUCUAACUUUUGCCAAGACUAAAGAUCUUAAUUUUGCGAGCAUGUUCUAACUUUUGCCUAGGUCGCCUUUCCAAGUUUUCAAUUUAGCAAACAAGGUUUUUUUUUUCUUUUUUUUCUUUUUCUUUUUUUAGUUCUCUAACUUUUGCCAAGACUAAAGAUUUUAAUCUUGGAAGCAUGUCUUAACUUUUACCUUAAGUCGAAUUUUUAGGUUUUCAAUGUGGUGGAUUUUUUUUUUUUUUUUUUUUUUUUGUGUCGUAGGUAAUUUAAGCUCAUAUGGAUUGGAAGCAAUGUGUAGUUUGUUGGGAUUAAGCCCUUAAAAGCAAGACAUGAUGUAAUAAAGUUAAACUUAACUAUUUCCUUACUAUCUUUUUGGUGUAUCAACAUUGAUUUAAACAUUCAACCCAUAUCUCUUACAUUGUACAUGAUUUAGGAGCAUUAAGAGUUGCACAAAAGAUACAAGUUAUGGGUUCCUUGUAAGUAGAUGAGUUAUCCAUAGUCAUUUCAUGGAUUUGGGCAAUCUAGUAGUGACUAUAGUGCACCACCUCCUAAUUUAAGGGAUGACUUGUCUUGGCAGUUGGGAUGAGUUUCCUAUGGUGAGCGUACUAGUGUAAAUGAUGCACAUUGGACAGGACCUAUGGUGAAUCAUGACGCAAGGCUAUCAAUUGUCAUGAUUCACCAAGUUACUAUACUACAUGGACUCUCAACCUUGAGAGGACAUUGAACCCAUGUCAAAAUCAAUAGAAAGUUUUGACCUAUGGGCGAGACCCUAAAGUAGUCAUAUAUUCCUAUGGAUUAGGUCAUUGUUGAUGUAGGCUGGUUAUAAUAGGCAUUCUCAAUAGAGGCACCAUGAUAUGUCAUGGGAUUGAGAUGGUGUGUCCCUUUGGGUGAUCCAAAGAACAUGUGAUCAUGAAAUUUGUGGCCACAGUAAUUCCUUUAGUGAAAUUUGACAUAUGCUCCUUGGAGUUAGAGUAUGUCAAUUGAUCACAUAAUAAGUGAGAUCUAUAACUCAAGGAUUUGAGAGAUAAUAUUGAUAGGUGAUAACACUAACUUGUUAGAUUUAGACACCAGUUUCAUGAGGAAUAUGCAUGUAGUGGAUAGUAGGUCAUGAAUGCGAGCUUUGUCUCGUUGUUAUUUACAUAAGGUACCGGAGUGUAGUUGAUUCUCUUUAGUAGAGUGUUGAAUCAACUUCAAAAUUGGAUUAUGAGGUAGUCAGUACUCCUAUGGGUCUCAAUGGUCCCCACUCUGAGCUAAUAUACCAUGAUGACACAAUUUAUGAGGGUUGGAUUGACUUUAGGUUCAUUCUUAUGCAUAAGGGCAUUUUGAUAAUUACACAAGGUUGCAUAGGGGAUAAUAAAUAAGGUCUCUAGAUUGGACUAAUUGAUUAAUUAGAUGGCCUUAUGUGGUUAAUUAAUCAAUUAAGACAUGUUAGGGCUAGAUUAAGUGACCCAAGCCUUGAUGGGUUCAAGUCACUUAAGCCUAAUGGGUAACCGUAUAAAUACCUCCUUAUGGGUUAGGGUUUUCUAAUGACUUUUAGUUAGUCAUCUUCCACUUUUAGAAAAAUAGAGAGAGCCAAAGCUUCCUCCUUUCCACUGCCCACACUUUGGUAUGCCAAGAUCGGGAAUCGAGUCAUCGAACAAAAGAUCUUAGGUGUACGAGACCUUUGAACUCUUUAGGCUUCUUCUUCGUUGGAUGGAUUUUGAUCUGGGAACAUCUAGAUCACAUGUAUGUGUUAUAAUAUUUGGUUAAUUCAACCUAAGGUAAUCACCCUAGAGAAGGGGUGAAUAGGGUGAUGAUUUUUUUUUGCAAAUUUAAAUUAUGUGAAUGCAAGAGACAAUUAUAUGCAAAAUAUAUGGCAAAACCAUAUAAAAACAAUUGCAUAUAAAGUAAAAGGUUAAGGAAGAGAGAAUAUAAACACAAGAUUUUUAUAGCGGUUCAGUGCAACCCGACCUCCAUCCAUUCUCUUCUAGCUUCAAUACUAAACUUGAGGUUCCACUAAUUCAAGGCUUCCAAUCCAAGCCUUCAAGUAAUACAAUUGGAUUAUGGUUCCAAUCAAACCUCUUGAAAUUUUAGUUCUAAACACAUUUUACAAUCUUCAAGAGAUACCUCACUCUUGAACAACUCCUUAAGUGAUACCUCACACUUGAGAAUCCCUAAGUGAUACCUCACACUUAGAUUUUUCAUCUCAAAGAUUUAUCCGCUCUGCACCCACCUCCCGAGUAUAUGCUUCAACAGGAAUCACACAAGGGUAGAUUGAUACAAUAGAAACCUCUGGUAAAAUGCCCGCUCGUAACCCAGCAGAUAAAGUACAUUACAUAGUCCGUUUUAGGGAUUGGCUACUUACCCAUUCAGUGACUUUGGCACUGGACGUUCCCAAAAUGGGUACUAUCGGGUCGGGUGAAUUCAAUAAUAGACGCCUGUUGGCAUUCCAGCCUUCCUUCUCCUUUCAGGGCCUAUCCGAAAGAGAAUCCAGUACUUCUUGGUCAAAUGAAGAUAGGAAAUUAUUAGCCUAAGGACUCUCCUAAUCGGGUUUUGAUGAUAACAAACCAUGAUUAAAUGACUAAUUGGUUUAAUGGUUAAGAAUCUCAAGCAUAAACUCGAAAAUUCAUCAAAUGACCAAAUGGAUACAAGAUCGAGACAUUUGGAAGACUUGUGAUCAUAGGAAACUAAUGUAAGAUGAAUGCAUGAGUGCACUUAGGAUUUUCAUACCGUUUCAUACAAUUUAGAAAACUCAGUUUAUUCUUUAAAACUUCAAUUUCAUUAAAACCCGAGUUUUAACAAUUGUACCUCAGGCAAAAUGUUUUAAAAUUGGCAUAAUAAUUCACCUAAAAACCUUGCCUAAGUGUUAGGAAAGAAAGGAAUUGAAAAAGAUAGGUUUUCGGGGCCAAAAGGCUCAACCGGUCGAGGCUAUGGCCAACCAACUCAACCGGUUAGGGAAUCGGUCGACUGGUUACCCUUGUCCAGUUGAGGUCCGAUCGAAGGAUGCACAAAAUUUUCUCUCUCUCCCAGUAGCCUUCUCUUCCCGGUUGAGGUUAUUCUCUUCCCUGUCGAGGUCCGGUAUAGGCAACGGUAACCUGUCAAGCAUUAAAUGCUCCAACGGCUAGCGAACCGGUCAACCCCUAGCUCGACCGGUCAAGGUUACCUUUUGUUGUUUUUGACUCCCGAGCUUAGAAACCUAUAAAUUGAGAGCUCCACUUCAUUUAUUGACGAGAUAACACUUGCAAUCAAUUGUCUACCUAUUUGUUCUUGAUCAGAAAGCUCUCAUUUCUUUCUUAGUACAUUAAAUCAUCACUUGCAUAUCCUUUAGUGCACUCUUGUGUGUCAUCCUAGAUUUGUCUUGUAUUUGAGCUAUCUUUAAGCUAGGUUGAGGGAUUCAUUCUUGUAAAAACCGAGUGUUAAAGCCUUCAAGAAGUUUAAAUCUUGAAGAGAUUGUGUAAGAGUCCAUUGGAGCCAAAAUCCAAGUGUAAGAAGAUUGGAAGUUUGGUUGAAGUUUCAAGUUAGUGGAACCUUCACUCGGUUAGGAGAUUGAGGAGACUGAACGUAGGCAAAGAAGUGUCGAACUACUAUAAAACCCGAGUUUGAAUUCUCUAACUCUAGCUCUUUAUUUUGCUUAUAUUGUGCUUGAACUCGUUGUGAUUUAAAAGAAUUUAAAAAACCCCUAUUUGGGUGUUUUUCUUAAUUAAGCAUAGCCUUUAUUUUCUCAUAAAUAAUCUUACAAAAUCUUAGUACAAACUUUAGCCUUAAAUGAUACAAAAUAAACUAGGAUUGAAUGGUGCACUAAUGAUAUGUAAGUUUUAAAACAAUGUGUACAAAAAACACUCCCCUAAAGCUCAAAUAUAUUCGAGAAAGGUUUAAGAAGGUUAAACUCUUGAAACAAUAAAUAUUGAAACCUUUUUAUAGAAGAGAAAAACCAAACUACCUGUUGGGGAUUCGUUCGAUCAAGCUCUGGUUCGACCAGUUCACUAGCCUUUAGCAUUUAAUGUAUGAUAGGUGACCAUUGGACCUUGACUACCCCUUGAUUGGUACUCGACCGGAUGAAGUUCAACCUUGAUUGAUCGAAUAAGCAUUCUGGAAGAGAGAUAAGGUUUUUGCACCUUUCAACCGAGUAAGCUGAAUAGGUCGACUAAUUUCUCAUUCGAUUCAACCGAUUGAGUCAUUUUUUGCUCAACAACUAUUAUUUUCAACUUAAAACCUUUUAAACAAGUUUGGAAAGCAUUUGACAUAAGGUUUUAGUUGAAAACAUGAAAUCAUCCAAUUUUUAAAAGAUUUAAAACAAAAUAACUCUUGAAUGAUUUUGGUGUAUAAGUAAAGAAUGUAAUGCAUGAAAAACCCAAUGCACCAACAACCUUACAAAGAGAUCCUAUGAGUCUUAGGUCUUGAAAAACACUUAUCUUUAAGGUCUUCUUCUUCUUAUUGAUUUUAUCUUUGUGAUUGCCACUUUGGAAAUCAUCUUGCCUAGUCACACUUAAAAUAUAAUCAUUAGUUCUAAAUCUUGUUUUGUUAUCAUCAAAACUAAGAUUAACCAAACCUUGGUUUCACAAUAUGAAUAUUGUAUCUCUAGAUCUAUAGUUAAUAGUGGUUUUUAUAGUCAUUUGUUUCCAUUGCGAUAAAUUUAGAGAAGCUUAGGGAUAGAUGAAUGCACCCUAUGAGAUCUAGGGCAUAGGAAUGGAGUAAUCCGGGGUUCCUAACAUAGUUUAGGCUUGUGCUUCAUGGAGUGAUAACAAUUCUUCAAGCAUAGUUAUGCUUUAGAAAUUUGUUAUUGAUUGGUCCAAUUUUUAGACCAUCUUCAGCAACAAUCUUGUGUGCACCAUUGAUAUAAUCUUGUUAUACAAAAUAUGAUCUAUCACAUUUUUGGCAAGAACUUUCCACUGGUUUUGUGCAUGGUAAUGAUCAUGCAUGCAAACUUAACUAAGUUAUACACUAGAUGCCAAACUACUACAAUUCUUAUACACCUUCCCGUUUUGUGCAACUGAACAAUUCAACAUCAUAACACCAAAGUUCUUGCUUAGAUUUCCUACAGUGCUAAAAUUUUGAAAUGAUUAAUUUGUUUAUUUUUCUUUCAAUCCCAAGACCCACAUACAUCAUGUCAUGCCCUAAGACCCACUCUAAGGGCAUGACAAUCAUUUCACAUCUCAAGGUCGAAAGCUCAAAGUGUAAAUUGACCUUAACAUUCAUUUUGUAACUGGAAAAUUAUCAAUUACCAAAUUCAUAUUUAUAGUAGUAGAAUAAAAUUCUACAAGUUUCAAAUCUCAACUUUAAAGUUAACACAUCAACUAAAGUGUUAUUGUCCAAACAACUUCAAACUUAACAAUUCAAGCAAUCAUUAAAUUCUAACUUUCAAAAAAUAUUUUUUAAAAAUAAAGAUUUAACGAAAAGUCUUAGUAUUGCCAAAAUCUCAUCCUAACCUUCACUCCUAGCCUGAAUUAAGGUGCCUAAAAAAUUGUCAAUGAAAGGAAAUGAGAUCAACGCUCAAUAAGGAAUAUUAAUAAGGUUUCAUGGAUCAAACAUUUUUAAUUAUAAUUCCAAAUAGGAGAUAUAAUAUAUAAUCAUUUUCAUAAGAAAUUUUGAGUUUAAAUAUAAUAAUAUAUUGAAAACUUUUCAGCUAAACAUUUUCAUAUCUAUGUCAAAACAAUUUCAUAUCAAAUUCAAAUCAAAUAUAUACAAAAUAUUUUUACUUUGGUUAUCAAAUGUCACAUGGUGUCAAGUUAGGUGGGACUUUACAAAUUGGUGUCUAACCUCAAAUUUUUUCCUUUCAAGGUGGACGAAACCAAACACUACUAGUAUUAUUAACAUCUAACCAAAUCCCUAAAGGGUGAGAUCUAAAGCAAUUACAUUCUCCGCCAAGAAAUAUAAGGUCAACAAUUAUAACUCGUUGACUAGGGACAAAAAUAAACUAGAGUCAAACACCUUAUUUCAUUAAUUCAAACUUGCAAAACAAAAACAUCAUAUCUCCAUAAUUUUCAUUUUUUAUAAACAAAAGAAAUGUUCUAACAUAGUUUUUUCAUGAAAAAUAUAUAUUUGAUCCAUGCAUAAAAAUAAAAAUAAUUUUUUUAUUAUUCAAAAUAACAUAUAAAAAUAAAUAUGUUCUUUUGGCCAAAACAUGUAUUAAUUUUUCUUACCUCAAAGAAACACUCAAAGACCUUGAAGCAAUUAAUCCUAAAGAAUUUCACCCCAAAAAACAUAUUUCACACCUUACUAAAAAAAAAAAAACAAAACAAAAAAAUUACUAUUGAUUAUUUAUCUAAUAAUAGUUUUGUAUUUUAUAUCACCUAUAUUAUUUUUAACUUCCUAAUAAAUAACAAUUUAAUAAGCGAUUUUCCAAAUUUUUAAAAGUUAUGUUCUUUCCAAAAUUUAUUCAUAAUAUUCUAUUAUUAUUAUUAUUAAUUAAAUCUCUCAAAAAUAUGUUUUUUCUAUUUAUUGCAUUAAACUAUUAUUAUUAUUAUUCAAUUUCAAUUUGAUUAAUUGGUUUUUUCUUUUAAAUUCCUAAUUUAUAUAAGAUUCUUGUUUUGAAAAUCUUCCAUAUUUACUUAUUUGUUUAAAGUAAAUUUCUCCAAAACUUGUUCCUUUUGGUUAAACAAGUAUCUUUUCCUAUUAUUAUUAUUAUUAUUAUUAUCCCUAAUAUUAUAUUCAAAUAACUAAACAAUAAUAAUUUAAAUUAGUGAGUUUCCAAAUUUUUAUAAAACUCAUAUUCAUUCUAAAUCUUAUCAUAUAUAUCAAUUUCUUUUAUAUACUUAAAUUAAAUUAAAAAAUUUACUUAAAAAAUAUAUAUAUUAUAUUAUUACUUUCAACAUCCUUCUACCACCCAAACAAUUACUUCAAGUAAAAGUCAUAUAUCCUUAUUCUACUAACUAUCCUCUCUCUUGCAAUAGCACACUUAGGGAUGGCAAUGGGGUGGGUUCGGGAUGGAUCGCCCCUAUCCCAACUCCUCCCCAUUUAUUCAAAAUAAUUUUCAUCCUCGUCCCAUUUAAAAAAUUAAAUGAGGCAGGGCGAGUAUGAUAAAUUCUCAUAUUCGCCUCGCCCCGCCCCGUUUAACUCUUUUUUGAAUUUUUUUUUAAAAUUACUUUAAAAAUUUUUAAUUACAUUAAAAUAAAUAUAUUUUAUAAAUAAUUAAAUUAUUAUAUUUUUUAUAACUUAUUUUAUUAAAAAUAUUUUAUUAUUAUCUAUAUAUUAAAAAUAGUAAAAUAAAAAUUAAAUUAAAUUAAUUUUAUAUAUAAUUGGGGUGGGACGGGAUGAGGCAAUACCCAAACCUGCUCCGGGUUUUAAAAAAAAUUCUCAAACCUAUCCCAAACCCGUUUAUUAAAAUUAAAUCUCGUCUCAUUAGGGACGAGGCGAGUACCUGAAAAAACCUGCCUCAUUGCCAUCCCUAGGCAAACUUUCAUUUUUUUUUUUUUUUUUAUCUUUUUCCUCCUUAAGAUCAAUCCUAUUGUAAGCACCCUUUUUUUUUCUACCACAUCUUGUUGCAAGCAACCUUGUAAGUUUUUUUAAUUUAAAUUUUUUUUCCACUAUGGAGGCACGUACAACCAUAAAACCUCCUCUUUUUUUUAUUUUAUUUUUACAACUCUCAAAUCUCUCAACCUCCAUACUAUUAGGUUUUAUUCAUUUAUUUAUUAUUAUUAUUAUUAUUAUUAUUAUUCCAUAUCCAAAACUAUAAUUAAUUUUCUUUUAUAUUUUUUUAUUUUAGAUCUAUUAAUUUGAAUAUUCGAAAUUUUCUAAUCUUACUAAUAACUCUAAACGUUCAAAACUAAUUAAUGAAUAUAAAAUAUUAAUCUAAGGAUUAAAAUCUUAUAUAGAAAAUUGAUCUUUAAAUCCUAAACUCCCAAAUUUUCAACCUUACGUUGCCCUAUGUUGUCCAAUCUCUUAGAUCUCCAUGUAAAAGGGUUUUUUUUUUUAAUAGAGUAAAUAAGAAAAAUUUAAUUUAUACCUAAAAUUUUAAAAUGGAGAAAAAUCUUUCUACCCUUAUUAAUUUAAUUAAUUUUUUUAAAUUAUGUUUUUACCCUUGAAUUGGGUCUGGGCAUCACACAUCAUACUAAAAAGUUAUCAAUAACCAUCCUUUGAGGCACAUUAGCAUAAAUUUGCGACUUUAGUUGUGUUCUAGGUGCAAUUCUAUUAUGUUUAAUUGAAAAAUAACACCCAUAGCACAACCAAGCCUAAUUGACAGCAUUUGGGCAAAUAAAUGGUAAAUUUCUAAAAGUUCACCAAAAAAAAAAAAAAACAAAAAAGAUCAUAAAGGGCAUAUUUUUCAAGUCAACCUAGUUUUGGGAUAUUGCAAUCCAAUCUAAGAAUGCAAUAAUAGCUCUUUAAUUCAUAAUUUUAAAUUCACAAAAGAUAUCACCUAAAAUUACUAUAGGUUACCAAAACAUCAACAACAUAUAGAAAGCUUAGAAAUGCUUGGAACCUAUCGAAUUUUCACUUUUUAGGAAUAAAAAAAAAAUGAACUUUAAGGAUUUUAGGGUAAUACUUGCUUGAACCAUCUUUCAAUCCUUUUGUUGGCGGUGGGCCUUUUACCUAUAAGAACAGGAAUGAGAGGUGAAAAGGAGGGAGCCUUAUGAAAACGGAUCCCUAGGGCUUAAGAAGGGGUUUUCAAUUUUAGGGUUUGUCUGUUCACCAAGGAUGUGAAUGGGAAGAUGAGGUGAAGUUAAGAGAUUGGUGAAGCAAAGUGAGGGCAUGGUAGGGUUUGAAUAAGGGAAAGUCUACACUAUUAAUGAAGAUGAUAAUCUUUAGAAAGCAAAGCUAAGGUAAACUAGGGCUUUAACAACAAUUUUCGAUCUACACUAGUGAAGACGAUAUCUUCGAAAACCAAAGCUAAGGCAAGCUAGGGCUUUAAUAACGAAUUUCAAUCUACAAUGGUGAAGAUGAUAAUCUUCGAAAACCAAAUCUAUAAUGGUGAAGAUGAUUAAAAACUAAAUCUAUAUUGGUAAAGACGAUUGGAAAGCAAAUCUACACUAGUGAAGUCAACGAAACCAAAGGUAGGUAAAAAUAAUAAUAAUAAUAAUGCAUUCUUAGAUCCAAAUCACCAUUUCCAACAUGGUAUUUGGAUUUCCACCUUGUAUUUUUUGUUUUUAAUUUUUUCAAUAAUCAAGGACAUUUUAGGGAUUAUUAAGUGACAAUAUUCUUCAACUCAAUUUCCCACAUUAGUUAGGUGUAAGGCUCAAAUGUGAAACUCAUAUAGAUGUUAGGCCAAUCAUCAAACUCAUUUGCCUUGAAGCAUAAUUUCCCCUUUUUAAAAUAGUUGUUAAACAUCUAUCCCCAACACUUGUAACCCUUUGAAGUGCUUGUAUGUUAACCUUGUUUCCUUUUUCUCAUGAAACAUGGCUUAUUGAUUGUUGCAUUGAGUCAUUAUCAUUCACCAAAUCCAUGCAACUAUGAACUACCUUUCAAAUCCCUCGAACAUAAAUGGUAAUUCCAAAACAACUCAAGUAUAAUCUUUCCAAGCCCUUCAAAUGAUUUAAUUAAUUGAUGUUUGAAUAUACUUCAUAUAUUUUUUUAGAGCAAUUUUUUAGGCAUAUAACAUAAAUCUCUAAUUUCAUUUUAUUUUUUUUAUAAAAGGUUUUAUAUUUUAUAUUACAAUUUCCUCUCUUUUUUUUCAUCUAAAAAAAAAAACAUAAAACCUUCGUAAACGAGUUUUGUCACAAUCCCUUAACAGGUAAUCUAUUUUUAAAAAUUACUUUAACAUUUUUAGAUAUAUUGAUUCAGUCUAAUUUAAUUUUAAUAUUUUUUAUAAAAUAUUUUUAUUUUAUAUGAUUAUAAAUUAAUUACUAUUGAUUGCAUAUUAUAGAAUAUAUAUUCUAAAAUAUAUCCUAUUCACAAUAAUAUCAUAAGAUAUUAUAUCCAUAUCCUAACAUAUUAUAUACUUUUAUUUUGUGCAAUUAGCAACAGGGUGGAAGACGGCUUAGGCGGGAGACGGCUUAACGGAAAUGCCGUCUGCCAUGCGUGUCCCUUCCCUUAGUGAGUCUGAACAGCUCCAACAUUUCCGACACGCCCUUCUUCGCUUAGCUCUUAAGUAUUUUCGUCCCGUUUUCAUUAACCCCAUCACAUUUCGCCAUGUGGAUCUAAGCCUCAUGGUCCUUUCGUUCGUACGAUGAAUAUUCCCCCAAUUCCUUAUCUACACUAAACCUCCAUACUCGCCAUCUACUCAACCACUUCUCUACUCUAGAGUCUGGAUCCUUUAUCUCUGCACGUGUCUAUGGCUCUUCACCCCAGCAAGUAUGGCAUUACAAGGGCAAUAUCGUCAUUAAAGACCCAAAAGGCAAACGAAUGGCAUUAUCUCCCUUUUGGGUCUAUUCUAUUUAUAUUGUAAGUUUUUCGUGAUGACUUCUCUCAUAACAGCUAAAAACCACUCCAACAGAGCACACUUCACUUCUUCGUUUUUGUCUUUCCUCUUUUUUUUUUUUAGAGAAGCUGAGAAAGCCCAGCUCGCCCUCAACUCCCCGAUGGGUUUGAUGAAUGUUCUCAAAUUCUCAGCUGCAUGCUUUGAUCUUCUUGGUUGGUAUGUUGUCUACGCAUUUUCUCGUCAUUGGAAAAUUUUGGAAAAUGAAGUGGAAUUCUAUGUUUGAGGAGAAACUGGGAUUUGCUUUGAUUUCUCCAUGUUGGUUUUAUCCCUUUUGUUUGAAUUGUCCAGAUUCUUGUCAUUGAUUGUUAGUUAUUUGUUUGGAUUUCUACUUGCAGGCCUCUGUUUGCACUGGGUUAUCCUCUGUAAGUCUUGGUCUUACACCCCAAGAUAUGAUGGUUCAUUUACUCUUUUCUUGUUCUAUGAAUUCUUAGUUCAGUUACAUUUAUUGGGUUGGGAAACUGAAAAGGGAAAGGAUUAUUAGUUAUUAUCAUAAUAAUCAUCAAUAUCAUCUCGGUUCUUCACAGAUGUGCUUCAAUUCGGGCAAUUGAGACUAACUCAAUCUCAGACGUUCGGAAGUUGGUGGCGUAUUGGGUUCUAUUUUCCUUGAUUUCACUCUUUGAUCAUACUUUUGCCAAGCUCCUUGAAUGGUAAUUUUGCUCAACUUCAUUCUUUGCCCUUCAGGAAUUUGGAGUUGCUUUUUUCAGUUUUCUUCCUUGUGACAAUAAUCGAGAUGUUUAAUGUUCCAGGCCUCCAUGUAUUUUAUUUUCCUUCACUUCUCUGCUUUGAAAAAUGCCCACAAUCUGAUCAACAGAAAGGUUAUAACAUUUGAAAAAGAAAUGCUUUGUUUUGGUUUUUUAAGUGCAACAAUUUUCAUUUGGAGAAAUGAUCUAAAGGGUAUUGGUGUUUGGCCGAAUUCAUGGAAUUUUCUCGCUAAUUUGGGAUUUAUUCUCAAUUUCAAGAUCACUGUGGAUAUUUCAGAAAUUAAUGAAAUAUAUAUGAUGGAAUGUGAUUUUCUUGUUUAAGAAAAGUUUUUCUUUGAAAAUGUGGGUGACCCCAACCUACCUUAUUGUACUACUUGGAACACAAAACAAAAGUUUUUCUCGCUAAUUUAUUAACUAAAUUGCACACUUUUUGAUAGUUCAAGGAAGUGGUGUCAGCUUUGGAAAUAAGAUGGAUGAUUGUAGGGAACUUUAUUUCUCAUCUUUAUAGGGAACUUUCCAUAAUAUAGCUUAUAAAUAUCAUAAUCACAGUGAUGAAUGAUUGUCUUGUUUGAAAGCAUGGUUGCACUUAUUUCCAGGGAAUUUGUCUGCGUUGAAAUUAAAUUAAGCUUUAUGCAUCAUUUGGAUGCUGGGAAACAAAUGGAAAUAGAAAAUUCAGAAUCUGACAAGUUUGUGUAGGGCAACUGGAUCUAAUCUCUUAGUCGAAGCUUAAUAGGGGCAAAUGCUGAUCAUCUUUGAACCUAUUGAAGGCUCUAAUCUGUGCACAAUUCUAAUGUUUUUGUUUUCUUCAUUUCUUUUUCAACUUUUCAUAAUAGAUGUCAAAAGUUAAAACCGAACUUACGUAGUCCAUCCAAGUGGAUGCAUAUAAAUUUAACAGAAACUGAAAUUUGAAGAAAUUUAUUUUCCCUUUUGUAAAUGGUGUUUAAAAAGUCUGUGUGUAGUUUGGUUUUUUUCCUGGAAGAUCAGAUGAUUUCGUGAUCAUUUUUUCUAUUUGCCUUAUCAUCAUGAGAUUUAAGUAUUUUUUUUAAAAAAAUAUUUUAUUUUCUUAUAUAAUGCAUGUCAGGAUACCAUUCUGGCCUUACAUAAAGCUGAUGGUCAUCUGCUGGCUGGUGAUACCGCAUUUUGAUGGUUCCUAUUAUAUCUAUCAAUACCUAGUUCAUCCACGCUUGUCCAUGGAUCCACAAGUUGUCAUGAAUUGGCUCUUCAAUGAAUCAAAAAAGAAGUUUCAUAGCAGAGAAAACUUUCUUGUUUCAGCAGACCAAUAUAUUAAGGAGAAGGGACCUGAAGCUUUGGAGAAACUACUUGCAAGGAAGGUAUGCCAUUAUAAGUAGGAUUGUCAACAAGUCAAAUAGAGUUUUAUUUGAGAUGUUCAAGUAAAAAAUUACUAUAGCAGGUCAUCUAGAAUUAUUGGUCUAAAUUCAUGUAUAUAUCUAUAUAUAAUUGUGUUCUCUUUUUUUCACAUAUGCAUGUGCAUUUAGAUUUACGUAAUUAUAUAUGCAUAAUCAGAUUCAACUGUGAUAGCCCAGGAUUUAAUUCAGUAAUCAACUCUUCUGGGAACAUGUUGGUUAUGGUUUCUCUCUCACUGUCCUCUUAUUUAUACAUGACUUUGGCUUCAGUUGAGGAGCACAAAGCCUAAUGUUGAAGUGAAAGAGAUCAAAGGACCUGCAGCACCGGAGAAAAAAGGGGAACAGGUAUGCACUCUACUAUUUUAUUUCUAUGGAGGCAGAUCUCCAGAGAAAUGUUGCUCAUGUAAAUUAGUGAUGCAUUUAAAAGAAAAACCACUUUAUGUAUGUUUCUGUGAAAAAGAGAACAAGUUUAUGGAUUAAGUGAUAUUUUUUAUGGUGAAAUAAUCAAUAAUUUUCAAAAUAAUAAUAUAUUCGUGCAUGUUUUUGCAAUUCAUGAAUUCCUUUUACGAUUGAUUCUUCUCACCUCAGUGGAAGUGUGAAGAGCCUAAUGUUGCAGAAAAGGAGAUCCAAGUAGUCAAAGUAACAGACAUAAAAAAUGGGGGGGAUGGAGCAAAGAGGGUAAGUUUUCCUUUUUAUUUAUAAGGAAGGCUGUCUUCACGCAAGGAUUAUUGUUAUUAUUUUUAAGACAUGAAUGUUGAAUGCAUUUGGAAUUGUCGUUGAAUCAUGUGAAGUGUGAAGGUGCAAAUGGUGCUAAGAAGGAGAUCAAAGUGAUGGAAGUAACACAGAGAACAUUUGGUGAUACAGCACAGUGGGUAAGGUUUCUUGUCAUACUUAAAUGGCACCUCAUAUUUCACUAGGAUUAAUUUUGGCCUACAAACAUAUUUGGCUACAAGUUGAAGACAGCUUUCCAGAUACUGGUAAAAGUUGAGACAUAAGUAAUGAAUGAGUUUAGAAACAUGCACAACUCUUGUGUGAAACACAAUGAGAGUGGAAAAUAGCUAAGUUGAAAAAUGGCCAAAUACUAUUUUGUAGUUCACCCCACCACUUAAGUAAUUUUUGUCAUCCUUUGUGAAUGGAAAAUGCAGUCCCUUCAGUAAUUCUGCAUAUAACCAUUAGUGUCUUGUCCUAAGUUGACCUUUAAUGAUGGUCCAUUGAGAGGGAUCUGACUUUUGUCAACCCUCUUAUUCCUUUGAUCAUAGAGGUUAAACAUACGGGGCUUAACCCACUUUUCAAUCUCAUUGGAUAUAUGGCAUGUGGUAUCCUCUUCAUCUUGAAAGAGUGAAGUGGUCAUACUCUUUCCUGAGUCCAUCGUGGCCAUGCACUUCUGGCUCAUUGGGCAGAGUGAAAGGAUUCCCUUCUGCUUCAAAUCAUAGAGAGAUAUGCCAUGGUCAGCCUCUUUAAUUUGAAGGAUUGAAGUACUCAAAUCGAUUUCUUUGCAUCCAUCUUAGUCCUGCUUUCAUGUCUCAUGGUUAACCAGGAAGAUCAAGCUUCCAUCCAUGAGAUCAGCAUCUGCAGGGUUAUGACACCACCCUUCCUUGGCAUAGGAAAGCGAUCAUUAAGCCACAUGUCGGAUGACAGAAGUCGUCAUUCAGGUUAUCUUGCGAACUAGGGAAGUUGGAAUUCUAAUUAUUGCAUAUGGUUCUUGAUGUUUAGCCAAUAUACUAUAGGAUUUUAAGCAUCCUGCCCAUGUGCAUUGUGGUUUUUUAUCAGCUAUAUGGUUUACCAAACUGAGGGAUUGAUUAUAGUCAUAAGUACCCUUUUCCCAUUAAUUUCUUGCAUGUGCUUUGCUGAGAUUAUGUUUUUGACAGUGCUAAUCAGGGCAAACCAACAAACAGCUUUAUGUUAACUUUUACAAACUGCCACAUUUUCAGGUUGAACGAUCAGAGAUAAAUCUUGGUGAAACUAGAAGUAAUACAACCUGUGCCGUGGAGAUAAAAGAAAGGGCAGCAGCACUGGUGGCUGCAGAAAUUGAGGCAUGUAGAGACGAUAGAACCCCCAAGAUACCUCUUCAUGAGAAAGUCCAGAAAGAGUGGGCUUGUGCUGUGUGCCAGUUCACAACCCAAACUGAAGCGACCUUCAAUUCCCACCUUCAAGGGAAGAGACAUCAGGCCACUUCUGAGCAGUUGACAGCCAAAAACCAGGCAACCAAAACCAAUUGUUCCCCAUCUGCUUCAAAGGCCAAGAAAUCUGAUCAGUCCACCAAAGAGGAGCAACCGAAGUGUCCUUCCAACAAUCUGAAUUCCAAAAACAAUGGAAUCUCAGCUGCUUCAAUAGUGAAGAAACCUGACGAGACCAAAGAUGAUGAGCAACAAAAGUGUGCAUCCAGCAAUGGACCAAACCAGAAGAAUAACAAAAAGCAAGAGGAGAAGGUGCUAGUUCUUGAGACCAAUGAGCAAGGCCAUCAGAAUAAUUUUGAUCCACGAUCCCACA
rnacentral:lncRNA from 1 species